AUUAAAGAUUAGCAAGUAUAAUUCAAACACGAAUCAAAUUCAAUCAAAAUUUCAAAGGAAUUAUGUAAGAAAUAUAAAGUAUUUUUAAAGACCCUUUAAAGAAAUCAUAAAGAAAUAAUAUAGGAUUUCAAAAAUAUACUAAAAUAGAAAUCUUAAUAAAAUAUUAAAAUAGAAACCUUAAUUAAAUCCUAACCAAAUCUUAACCAAAUCUUAGUCAAAUCCUAACCAAACUUUAAUAAAAUCCUAACCAAAUCCUAACCAAAUCUUAGUCAAAUCCUAACCAAAUUCUAAUAAAUCCUAUAUAAAUCUUAAUCAAAUCUUAAUAAAAUCCUAAUCAAAUCCUAAACAAAUUUUAAUCAAAUCCUAACCAAAUUUUAACCAAAUCCUAGUCAAAUCCUAAAAAUCCUAAUCAAAUUCUAACCAAAUCUUAAACAAACCUAAACAAACCUUAAUCAAAUCCUAAUCAAAUCUUAAAUAAACCUAAACAAAUCUUAAUCAAAUUCUAAUCAAAUCUUAAAUAAAUCUAAACAAACCUUAAUCGAAUCCUAAUCAAAUCUUAAACAUAUCCUAACCAAAUCUUAAAUAAUCCAAGUAAUUCCUACAGUAGAUUUUAACUUCAAUAACUAAUGAAUGAAUUAUUGAUUUUAGCUCAAAUUUUACUCACCUCUUUACAAUUAAGUUGACUAUGAGCAUAAUUUUUUUGAAUUAGAUUAAACUCUCUAAAAAGAACAACCCUAAUAUUUGCUCAAAUGUUGGUUAGCUUCCUUCUUCAAUCUGAAUGUUGAAUUUCCAAUAUCAAUAACUCCUUAUCAAACCAUUUGAUUGAUUUCAAAUUUUUUAAAUAUAUAGGAAAAUAAGUCUAUUACUUACACACAUUUGAUAGAUUGCAAGAAAUCUUAGAAAUCCUCACUAGACCUAAAACUCUACUUCUCAAGAUUCCAACCUACUUAAACCUCAAUAAUCCUUGAUCCAACCCUUCAAUCAAGCUAAAACUCAUAACAUAUAUUGAACACAUAUAUACCUACAAAACCUCAAAAUUUCACCUAUAGAUCUAUAAAAAACUUAUGAAAUUCUCCAAGAAUUAACACCCACUUUAUUUCACAAAUUCAGAGUCUUCCAAAUAAAUCCCAACUUUGUAAGGCUCUUGCAAAGUCAAUACAUACUCAAAUCACAUCAAAUUAAUAUUUAAAGAAAAUUUAUCAAGUUAGCUCUUAGAUACUAUUUUGAGAUUUCCAAAAGAAUCUGAGAAUUAUCAUCGAGGCUUGGUUGUGUGUCUCAAGAUUUGAUUUCAACCCUAAUUCAUAAACGGCCCUUUGUAGGUAUCAAUAUCUAGUUUUUUUAGAUAAUUUUUAUUAGAAUUUACUCUUAACUUCUUCUUUAAGAUGCCUAUUUCAUUUAUUUUUCUAAUCUACUUUAUUUUCCUUAUUUAUGGCCCUACAAAAUAAGUAGAAGUCACUUUUCUAAAAAAGUAGCAUUACUACUAAAAUUUUUAUUACCUUCAUAUCUUUUAUCUAUAUUUUUUUAUUUUAUCUUUUAACUUGGCUCUUCUAUAAUAAGAUCCAUAUUAUCAUCUUUUACCAUAUAGUCAUAUUACAUCAUGACAACGUAUUCUAAUAAAUGACAUCAAGAUAGUGUCCAUCUUACAUAUCUUUUGGCUAUUCAUUUUAAAUGAAUUGUUGAUUUGGUUAUUAUGCCAAUAGCAAUAUGAAAAAUGAGAUAUUUGGUCUUGAUUUAUGAAGAUUUAUUAAAUCAAGUAAAAGGUAGAACAUUAAGAACAAAGUCUAUAAAUGGGAUUUAUAGAUUUUUGUUUGAAAUUAUUAUUUGCCACAAUGAAUGUAUAAGAAAAAUCACUACAGAUUGUAGAGAGUUAAAUGUAUAAGAACUUGUGAAUUUUUUGAAAGAUAUAGAAUUAAUUUAUCAUUGACUACUACUUAUAAUCCUAAAGGAAAUGUAAAAAAUAAACUUAAUCAUCUACCAAUUAUAAAAGCAUUAGUUAAAGUAUUCAAUGAAAAGGUUAAAAAAUGGCUACAACAUUUGCCAUCUAUAUUCUUGGCUAAAAAAACAACUCAUAGUUUAGUAAUGGAAUAUAUGCCUAUUAAGCUCAUGACAGAUUAAAAAUCUAUUAUAUCAAUUGAAGAAAAGACACCUACUUAGAAUGUGUUGACAUAAAAAGAUGAAUUGAGAAAAGAAGAAAUUUUAGCUAUUAGAAUUCAACAACUUGAACAAGAUUGAAAGAUAUGCAAAUAGCAUUAGAAAUUUUAUAAAAGAAAAGUUUACAAAACAAGGCACAAUUUGAUAAGCAACAUUGAUUGAAACCUUAAGCAAUUCAAGAUGAUGAUUGAGUAUUGGUCUAUGAUAAUAGCUUGGACAAUCAACAUAGUUCUUUAAAGAAGUUUUUAAAAUAAUAGUAUAGACCAAAUAUCAUAAUAACUAUAAAAAUAAUGUAAUUUAUUCAUUACAAGAAUUAGAUGAAAUAAGGUUAAAAAUACUACUUACAGAGAAGCAAGUGAAGAUAUUCAAAUAAAGAUAAAUAGAAACAAAUAUAGAAGACCUUGUUGACAAUAUAAAUCUACCAAGAUAAGAAGAUGAAUUUGACUUGAAUAGAAAAAAUGAUGAAGAGUAUUUGAAUGAAGGUGUGAAAAAUAUAAUAUGAAUCAAACAAGAUUUAGAUUAUUUGGUGCAUAUCAAAGAAUGUACAAGUUCAAAGAAGGUGGAUGUCAUAUAUUAAUACAACUAUACGGUAAAAAAUAAAAACAUAGAUGUAUUAUAGAAGAUCCUAAUAGGAAGAUGUGAUAGAAGAAUAAGGAUAAAUGAUAGGAAGGUAAUAAAAAAUUUAGUCUUAAUGCUGUCUUUUAGAGAAGGGACUUCUAUUUACUUUGUAGAGACAUAAAUGUCUCAAAUCAAAGUAAAUGAAAUAAGUAAUUGGUAUAGACAUAUUUCAAAGGGAGUUAUCAAUAGUUUCAAGCAAAAAUUAUCUCAAAUUAUUAAAUAUUUAUAUUCAAGGAGGAUUAGUUGUCAAGCUAGAUUGAAUCAGAUCACAAGGUACAAAACUAUGUAUCUAUGGCGAUUCCAAGUUCUUUAGUAGAUUGGAGGAUAAGAUUUUAGAACAAAUUUAUAAAAAAAAUUGAAUAUUUUUUUUAUUAUCAAUCGAAUUAAUAUUCACUUUUUGGAUGAUUUUCAAAAUUACUAAAGUUCUUGAUUGAAUUCGAUUUUAAAAAAUAAAAUUAUGUUCACAAAAAUAAAGAUUCUUAAGCUCUAUGAUGUAUGUAUUAGUGAAUUUUAGGCAAUUUUUUGAUAUUCUAGUUGUUAAUGUAUUUCAAAAUUUUGAGGUCAAUCAAAAAAUUACAUGAAAGAGUGUGGAGGUUUUUGUAGGUUGAUGUCUCAAAAAUUGGAAUUUAAGGAUUAGUGAGUAUUUUUAAGAUAUUUAACAAUAAAAUGAUUGGAUUGAAGAGAAUUUUUUUUGUAUGAAGAUAAGACUUGAUUUUCUAUAAUUUAAGUAUAUUUUAGAGGCAAUUCAAUAGUUCAAGAAGGAGAUAUUGGCUUAGGAAGUUCAACAUUCAGUUUGGAGUAGGAGGCCAACAAACACCCAAACUAAAAAUAAAGGUUUGAUAUUCUAUAUAGUAAGUUUUACCUUCUUCAAAUUUAGUGUGUUUGUUGCCAAUUGAAUUAUUAAAAGGCGUGUAAAAUCUUAAGCAAGAUCAACAAUAUAGUCAAUAGAUAUUGAGAUUCUAAACUAUCUCAAAUUAGGUUAAAUUGAUUAAGGUUUGAUUAAGGAUUUAUAAAUUCAUUAUAAUUUAAGAUUUAUUUAGAAAAUGACCUAGAAUUUAAGUAAAUAUUACAAGGAUUUUAACUAGGAUUAAAAUAAUAUUUCAUUAGAAUUUAUUUAAGAUAUAUUUUGGACCUUUAUUAGAAAUUGUGCAAGAUUCUAAUUGCACAAUUUUGUAUUUUUUGUAUAAUUAUUUUUAAAUUUAUGUUAGAUUGGUCAAAUUUUGAUUAGGAUUAUUAUAGUUUAUAUAAAGUUUAUUUGAGAUUCUAUUAGACUUUGUAGGAUUGUUGUUGUAUUUUUACUUACCAUUUACAAUCAUAUGCAUGGUACAUUUUCAAGCAAGAACACAUAUAAUAUGAUAUAGGUGGUGAACUUUAGAUAAAAGCUUGAGGUAGUAGGUAUUAAAGUUUGUUAAUUUUUUAUUUUUAUAUAAUGGAUAAUGAGAGGAAGAAUUUUGAAGGAGCUACGGAAGAAGCUUCAAGUAGAGUUGUUAGUAGAGUUUUCACUAAAAGACAAGGUAUAUAUAUGGACCCAACCAUUGCAAGUAUAUUCUAAGCUUUUACAAUGUUUAUGCAAUAGCAACAAUGCAAUGAUUCCAAAGAAGCUUUGACAAUCAAAGCAUUAUAAAAAUUGAUUAAUAAGCUUGAUAAAUUUGAUAAAAGAGACAUUUCAAAGUAUCUAAGAUGUUAUAUGUAGAAAAUGGAAUUAAAUUGAAUUUCUGAAAAAAAGAUGAUUGACCUAUUUUGACUUGCCAUGGUACCAGAGAUAUAAAAAUAUAUUAAAUCAAUUAUAAAGCAUUACGAAAUUUCAUUGGAGAUAUUUUCCUAAGCAUUAAAAGAUGAAUAUUUAUUGAAGGAUACUGAUUUUAUUACUAAGAAAUUAUUUAUAAAAUAACUUGAAUGGCCUAAUAAGAAUUUAUAAGGAACAGAGCUAUUAAAGAAGUUUGAAAGGUAAUAUUCUCAAUUAUCAAAGGUGGAAAAGUUGACAUUGGAGCUAAAGAAGGUUGAAUUAUUUCUUCAAAUAGCCGAUGGAGAAUUACAAGAAGAAUUAGAAUUGCUUCUUAAAGACAAAGAAAAAGAUGAAGGAUUGACAAUGAAGUCAAAAAAUAUUGAAGAUGCUAUAGAUUUGCUUAUAAAAUAAGAAAAGAAGAAAGAAAGGAUUAAUAUUCUAAAAUUAGUACAAGCACCUAAAAUUUAAGUGCAUAGAGUAAAAUCAAAAAUUCCUAUCAUUCAAUCUCCAAUGUCUAUAUCAAAAAAAAAAAAUAUAUAUGGAAGUUAAAGAAAUUAUAUGUGGUAUGCAAGAACUUCAAAUCAAAUUAGCAAGACUCAAAAAAAAACUUCUACAAUCAAUUUGAAAGCUAUUUCAAAACAAGGAUAUAUAAAAAGAUGCAUUUGGUGUGAUAAUUUGUCUCAUAUUAGGAAGAAUUGUAAUGAAUUUAAUGAUAUGAUGCAACAAAAAGUUAUUUUUUGAAAAGAUACAAAGGUGGUAUUAAAAGAUAUAAGGGACCUCCUUCAAACCAAUUUUGAUAAGAUAUAAGAGCAUUGAUUUAAGAAUAUUUAAUAGCACAUGGAAUAACAACACAAAAAAGUACAAGUUAUGGUACUAAGCUAGAUGAUGACUUUAACGAUGUCAUGUUAUAAUACAACUAUAUGGUAAAAAUAUAAUCAAAAAUAAAUUUUUAAUUAAUAUUUUAUCAUCUUAAUACAUCAAUAAUUUAAGUUAUUUAAAAAUUAAUUUUAUAAAAGCCUCUUAGUUUAUUUUCUUAUCUUAAUAGCUAGUAGAUUAAAGGCUGGUUAAUAAUUUUACCUUUUAGGUUGUAGAAAUUCUUUUAUUGUCUUAGAAAGAUAAUAAAUUGAUAAAAUUAGGUUAGAAGAGAUAAAUAAUUAGCAUGUUUGAUAUUAAGAUUAAGUUGAUGAUAAGAUUGGGCUAAUAAAAUUUUUAGGAAAAAUUAGAUUAAUAUCCAAGGAUGGACCAUUUAUGAAAUAAGGUUGAAAUUAGACUACUAGCCACUAAACGACUACCUAAGACAAAGUAAAGGAGGCUUUUAAAGUUUUAUAAUAAAGAUUUGUAAGCUAGCUUUAAGUUAAUUUUAGAGGUAUAAGACUUAUUUUUAGAGGAUUUGGAAUGACUUUGCAAUUAUUAUUCAAAGUUAUGAUUUAUAUUGGUGAUUUGGAAUUUAUGCAAUACAAUUAGGACUAAUACUCUUGGCUAGUUUAUACAAUUGGUAUUACAUCUAGAGUUUAAAAUUUGAAAGUACUUAGUUAAUUGAAUGUGACAAGUAUGUAUAAAAUUUUAUAUUAAUCUAAUAGUUCAAUUGAGAGAUAUCUAGGUUUUCAUACAAAAGGAUAUUAGAAAUUGACAAUUUGAGAUUGAGUAGGAUUUUUAUGAUAUUUACAGAUCAACUAGUUGGAUCAAAGUAAAAUUUAGAAUAGUAGUAGAAGACUUCAAGAUUAAGCUACACACUAAUUUUGAGUUGAAGUUAACAAUUAGAAAAGGAGACAUUGCUACAAGAAUAUUUACAUCAACUUUUAAGUUGGCAGCCAAGUGACAUUAGUAUGGUUUUUGGAUUUUUUCUAAUAAUUUGUAAGUUGAAUUGAGCUAAAUUUUUCUAAGCAUAUAAAAGAUUUAUAGUGGCAUUUGUGUGCAAAAUUUUGUUCUAAGUGAAUAGUUAGAUUAGGAGUUACAAUUUAUUGAAAUUCAUUAACUAGAAUUAAGGCUUGCAAAGAGAAAUCAAAAUUAUCCAAUUAGAAUUUGUGUAUAGUUGAGGUUACUAAAAAGAAUAUUUUUGAGCACUUUGUAUUAGCUUUAAGCAUUUUUGAAUUAAAAUUCGAAUUACUUUAUAUUGGAAUGUGUGAAAUCUAUUAGGAUUUCUUGAAUAUAUGUAAAAUACAACUUCACCUUUCACAACCAAGUACCUAGUGCAUUUCCAAACAAGACAAUACGUAUUACAACAAUAGAAGUAUAGAAAUAAUUAGAUUUUAUAUUUUAGCUAUUUUUACAAUACAAAAAGAAAAGAUGCCUUAAAAAGUAUUAUUGUGAAUUACAACUACAAUAUAAAAAAUAAGUUAAAAAGAUCUUGUAGAGGCUCUUUCAAUUCAUGCAUAUAUUGCUAAAAGUCAACAUGAAGCGUUGAUGGAAGAAAAGAGAAGAAAAAAUUUUGGUGAUAUAAGAAAAAGAAAUUCUUCUAAAAGAAAAACUUGAAGAGAUAAAGUUCAUGAAGUAGCUUCAUAAGAAUUGCCUAUAAAAGAUACUUCAAAAUUUUGAAAGAAAAAAAAAAAAGACAAAAGAUAUGAAUAAAUCAACAACUUAUAAACCACUUUUUGAUAUUGAAGUAGCAAUAAGUUUAAAAGAAGUAUUACAAGAAUAUAUACUAAAUGGUAAGGUGGAGUUCAUAUGAAAGAGAUUUUAAAAAUCUUAAAGAAGAAGUUUCAUGAUGUUAUUAUUGAAAAUAUUAAAAAAAAAUAAUAAUAAUAAAUUAAUAAGUGAAGCUAGAAUAAAUCAUGUUAUUGAUGCAAAAAUAUACAAGGAUGAAAAAGAGAUUGAUAAUUGUUACAAGCAACCAUCCAGUGAAAAGAAUGGUUUUAAGCAAUAAGUACAUUUUGAAGAUUCUAAUGACAAGGAAAUAGAAGCUUCAAGUCAUUACACUUGAAAGCAUUAGAUAAGGGCAACUAUAGAAGUAUUAGUAAAUGUAGAAGAUAUAAAAGACCAAUUGUUGUUUUAGUUGACCAUGCUUUUGAGAUAAAUCUUAUGUCUAAAGAUCUUUAUAAGAAGUGAAGAUUACUAAUUGAUAUGAAUUAUGGAUGGAAAAAAUGAACAACUAAUAACACACAAGGUGAAUUAUAUAGAGCUUGUUCAAAUGUUAAAAUUUGGAUUAAAGAUGUUAUAAUAGAAUAACAUUUCUUUGUUUAAGAUAUGAUAUCUUAUCCAAUGAUUUUAGGACAACCAUGUAUUAUGGUAACACAAAUAAAAACAAAAAUGCUUGAUGAUGGUUCAGCCUAUACAUGGAUAUGUAGUAAAGAUAAAAAAAGAAAAUAGUAUAAUUUCUAAUUCUACCUCCUAAUCAUGAAUAAAAUUGAGAUAGGUUGAGGAAGAAGCUAUUGCCAAGAAUUGUUGAAGGAUUUAAGGAUUUUGAAGAAUCAUUGUAAAGUUAGAUUAUGAAAGUACAAAAAAAGAGGUACUCUUACAAGAUGUAGGUGCCUUUGAUGCAAGUUUUAUUGACAUUUUUGAAUAUGAAAGUAUUAUAUACAAGAAAGUUAAAAAUUUAAAAAGAAAGAAAAAAAGAAAAUAUAUAAUAUUAAAAAAGAAUUAUGUAAAUUAGAGACAUUAAAAGAUAAUAAAAAUAUUUUAGAUAUUUAUAAAGAAAAUGGAUUAAAAGAUUCUUUGAAUUUCAUUGCAUCUAUUGGAUUAAGAGAUGAUGAUAAGGUUUUGGAAAUUCAUUUAAGGGAGGUUUAUUCUAUACUUGAAUCUUUUCAAAUACUUGAAGUUAUUAUAGAGACAAAAUAUAAAACCAAAAGUAAAAUCAAUUUUUGAAUUUUUACAAGAAGAUUCUACAGAACAAAUAAAAGAAGUAUCAAAGAAAGAGAGUUUAAAGAAUUGUAGAAUAGGUAAAUAAAUUUUGUGGUAAGUUAUUGGUUGGUUAUUGACAACCUUCAGAGUUAGACUUAUGGUUAGGCAGUUUAGUUGGUAAUAAUAGGUUGUUAGUGGAACAAAUGGUUAAGAAUUCAAAGGCUCAUAAUCUUUGGAAUCUAUUGGCCGAUGGUCCAUCUUUUGGGUAGGAUAAAGAGGUUGAAGAAAGAGAGAUUACGACCAGACUAUGAGAGUCAUAAGCCGGAGUAAGCUUGGUGCUACCUCUUUGUUUUCUUUGCUUUUAUUAUUUGCUUAUGAAGAAUUGUGAUUGAGAGAAGUAUUGUUGAAAUUGUGAUUAGAAUAUUGUGGAAUAUGACUUUGAAUUGACCAUUUUGGAGAAAAUCUGAGACUUUGAGAAUUGAGAUUAUCGAAUUGUGUUGUAUUAAGUAAAGAUAUUGAAUUCUGUGUCAUGAAUUGAGAAACUGAAUAUAAUAAGUAAGCUGGAGAUUAGUAAUUGAAUAUAUAUAAACUACAAAGAGAAUAAGUGGAAGAUGAACAGAUAAGAAUAUGGAAGUAUUGUUGAAUUGAUAGUCGUAGAAUGGAUUAUGUGUUGAAUUAAGACGGAAUUAUUAAGCCUUGGUGUUAUGUAGUUUGAUAAUUGAUUUCAGAUAGCUAGAGUACAGUCAAUUGUGACACUAACAGAUCCAAUUCAUAUAACCAGUCUUUUUCCAUGUUCAAACCUACCUCUAUUAGUUCAAUUGCUUUGGUAUAUUGAAGCUUGAAUACAAUGAGAACAACAUUUUGGCGCUGCUGUCGAGAAAAUAAUAACAAUAUGAAAUGUUAGAAAUUGAUUGUAUGAAAAGAAUGAAAGAUUAUGAGUGAUAAUCAUAAAGGAAAGAAUUAUCAAAGUAUUAAUCGACAAGCAAAAGAAAGACAAGAGCGAUUACGCAUAAGAAAUCUCCUACGGGAAUGACUAAAAGGAAUUGUAGGUCCAAGUAAAACCAAAGGAAGAAAAAUUCAAAUUCAAAUAGCAAAGAGACCAGUGAUAACACCAAUGGCCACGGGAGUGCCAGAAGUACCAAUUGUAGAACAAAUGAGAGCAGUAGGAGAUUGAACUACAAGUGUGGCACCAUUACCUACUUUUAGUGGUUAGUUGAGCUUUGAUCUCAAUCAUUAUAUAGCUCAAUUCUUGACAGCCUACGUUAUUAAUAAUGAUAGAACUGAAGACAUUUGGUUACAAUGGUUGCCAAUAAUUUUAAAAGAUAUAACUUUUGAAUGCUAUAUUCGGCAACCAAUGGGUAGAUUUUACAAUUGGGAGGCCUUGAGGAAUGCCUUCUUAACCCAUUUUAGACCAAUUGGAUUUGAAGAUCGGCUUCGAGAAAGUUUUUAUGAGUAGCAGGAUGUUUGCGAGGGAAUUAAUAGAGUUCUAUUAUGACCGGAUUAUGAAUAUACUUUGUAAAUGGUUAAAUAAUCAAAUGACAGAUGCGUUUAUAUUGUCAAUAUUAAUUAACAAUUUGCAUCUAUUAGAAUUAAAAAUAUUUGUAAAAGAGGCUCGACUAGCUACGGUAGAGGCAUCAUUGGCACGAGUAAAGAUAUAGGAAGAAUGUAAUUAUGACCAAUUAUUAACAGUGGGGGCCACAAUGAUUCCAAGUUCAGGAAGCCAACAAAUACAACUGAGAAAUGUAUUGAUGGAUAAUUAUCCACAAAUGGCUGACUCUAAUGUGAAGAAUGUUAUGUUGCAAAAAUCAAUUAAUGCUACACCACUUUAAGCAAUAGCAUCAAUAAUAAUAACACCUUAUUUUACAUCACCAACCUAUCAACAACCGGAAUUGUUCACAAAUGCGAUUGUUAAAGAUCCAAAUGAAGCCUUAUUAUUAAAUCUAACAAAGAAGAUAGAAGAAUUGGCUAUGAAUUUAGUUAAAGAUAAGGAAAAAUGACAUAAACCUUCUAAUAUGAGAUCUAAUGUAUGGUGUAAUAAUUGUAAGGGAUAAGGUCAUUUUGAUAUGAAAUAUCCAUCAUCCAGACAAAUGGAUAUUCAAUGUACAUUUUGUGGAAGAAAGCACCCUACCCAAAAUUGCUGGCAUUUUCAAAGGCAACAAAAAUUUAGUAAUCAGACCAUGAUUCCACCGACUCAGUGGAAAGUCAAUUAUGUUUAAACAAGAAAUAUGUAUGGAUGGAAUAGAAAUUGAUUCAAUCGACAAAAUUGAACAUUCAAUAAAUUUCAAAGUUCCAAUUUUAAUCAGGGGUCUGCAUCAAACCCCCAGAACUAUGGGAAGGAGUCGUAUAGGUAUCAGCAAUAUGCUCCACCGGCAUUGUCGUGAUGUAACACAACUAAUAGGUAGAAGAGUGUGGAGAUUAUUAUAAUUUAGAAAAUCUCAGUUCAAAGUAUUAGAACAAAUUAUCUUAGAAAUAUAGUUAAUAGUCAAAGGGAUAGAAAAAUUAAAAGGUACCCAUGCUGCCUUACAGAAAGGUGACUUCUAUUUACUUUAUAGCACCAUAAGUAAGGCAAAUCAAAGUAGAUUGCUUAGCAUUGUUAAAGUUUAAUUAAAAUUUAUUUAGUAUUCUAUUAGAAUUAGGAUUUUUUUGUUAUAAUUUCCAUUCUACCUUCCAUAGCUUAAUACUUGGUGCAUUCUUGAGCAAGACUUCACGUAACAUGAUAGUGGUCAUUAUGUAUUAAUGAAAGCUUAGUUGCAACAAAUUAUAUUUGCUACAUACUUUGAUCUUUGUUUUCUUUGAAGAUGGUUGAUAGGUCUUUUUAGCCAUUGAUAGUAUCCCAUAUUAGAGCAUGAAGACCACCUGAUUAUUUGAUCAUUGUUGAGGCCUUUGUAACUUCCUUCAAAUAAAUCAUUUAGAAUACUAUCAAGAAUUGUUCCUAUCUCUAAUAUAAUCACCAAAUAUUGGAAGUCUCUUUUAAGGUUGUGAUAUCAAAUAUAUUGUAUCUUGCCAUCUAUUUGAGAAAGGACAUGCUAUUAUUGAGGAUCUUUAUUUUGAUUAUAUUGUCUUGAAGGUUGUUACAAUUGUAAUAUUUUGUUUGAUAAGUCAACAAAUGAAAGCUCUUUAAUUGAAUCUAUUAGUUUUUGGUUUUCUAUUUCUUUAACAUUACAAAUACACAAAAGCUACAAAGAAGAAUAGAAGAUAGAGUGUUAUCUUUCUUUGAUCUUGUUUCUUUUAUAGAAAAGAUUUGUUAUUCUUCAUUUUGGUUUUGAUAGAUGUUGUCAAUAAAAAGCUUCAAUUUUCUUUGCUAUAUUUAUAAGAUUCUUUGUUAGCUUCCAUGAAUAUUGACUAAUAUCAUAUCCGUACUAAUAAACAAGAUAUUUCAACCUAUUUUGAUGCCACCUUGAAUCUAAGACUUCUUCCACUUCAAAUUCUUGAUUAUUAUCUACUUCUAUAGGAAGAAGUGAUAUUUGUCUUCUUUCCAAGAUAUUUAUUGUCUUAUAUGGCUCAAAAAGAGACAUGUAAAAUAAAAGUUAAAUCUUCAUAGACUUAGAUAGAUAUAAUUGAUAAGCGACAAGAUUGACUUGUUUACUAAUAAAAAAUAGUCCAAACUUACAAUAGUCCAACUUGUCACAAGAACAAGUAGUCUUGAUAUUGCGACAAAGUAAUCAUACCUUAUCACUUAUAUUGAAUUAUGAUUAUUUCUUGCAAUAGGCAUCUAUAUUAAUCUUUUGUCAUUCUUGAGCUCCCUUUAAUUGCACCUUUAUUGUUGCAUAUAGCUCUAACAAACAAUUUGUCAAAUCUUUCUCUGUAGAAUUAUCAACUUUUAAAAAAUCAAAAGUAUCAAGUCAUAGAUGAUAACCAUAAUUGACAAAGAAAGAUGUUUAUUGAGUGGAAGAAUAUAUCAAAUUAUUAUACGCAAACUUUGUCAAUAGUAAAAGAGUUGUCUCAUCAUUUUAAUGAUAAUUGAUGGUAUACAUCAAGUAUUACUCUAAAAUUUGAUUCAUCUAUUCCGUUUGUCCAUCAAUUUGAGGAUGAAAAAUCAAAAAAAAAAUUAUAUCCAUCUUUAAAAUCUUAAAAAGAAUUCUACAAAAUCUUGAUAUAAAUUGGGUUCCUUUAUUCAAUAUAAUAUCUUUAAGCAAUCCAUAAUAGCGAUAGAUAUUGUUAAAAAAAAGUUUAGCCAUUUUUUCACUUAUGAUAAAUUUUGUAUAUGAUACAAAAUAUGCCAUUUUGAUAAAAUAAUCUACUACUAUGAAUAUAGAAUCAUAUAAGCCUCAAACUAAAAGAUUCAUGAUAAAAUCCAUAGAAACAAAAGACUAUGAUUGUUUUGGAAUAGGUAAUAGUUGAAGAAGUCCAUAAGAUCAAUAUUGAGGAAUUUUUGAUCUUAAACAAAUAUUACAUGAUUAUACAAAGUCUUUGACUGCCUAUCAUAUUUAAUGCCAUUAAAAAUCUCUUGAUAUUAGCUUCAAAGUCUUAUUGUAUCUAAAAUACUUGACUGCUUGAAAGGCUUGACAAGUUUGAAAAUCAUGUAAUUAUGCGUCACCUUUUCAAAUGUAUAAUUCUCUUUUGAAAUAGAGUAGGUUGUUUUUAAACUCAAACUUAGAAGUAUCAUGAAACUUAAAAGAAUUAUUCUUGAUAUCAUAGAUAAAAAGUUCAUAGGACAUACUUGAUUGAAUUUACUCAACAAAAGUUGAAUCAAUAGUCAAUGCUGAUUUUAUUACUCAAAAGUGAAUUUGCUUUGACUUCAAAAGAAUCAUUCUUUGUGGAUCAAAAGAUGCAUCUUCUUCUUUUGGUAAAAAAUAAGAAUGUCUAAAAAGUGCAUCCAACAAACCUUGUUAAUUUCCAAUAUUGGAAUUGAGAGAGUUUAUCUCAAGAAAGUGCUUGGCUUUUGGCUGCCACUAAAUGUUCAAAGAAGUCUAAGAUAUAAAAGUUCUAAAUUUAUAUAUAUAAUAUUUUUCUUUUUAGAGCAAUUACAUGAAAACAUAAGCCUAAUUACAUGAGAAAAGAAUAUCCAAAUAUAUGAUAAAAUAUCUUAAAAUCUUAUAUAUCCUUAUGGAAAUUUUUUCCAUACUUCAAUAAUUCAUGAUUUCAUGAUCUAACCAUCCAAACAAACUAAAAUUUUAUAUAAAGUACUGAUAUUUUUUCAACAACUACCAAAACAAAUUUUAACUACAAAUUUGUUGUAAAUCUUGAGAUAUUGCCAAAAUCCUAAUAGUAGCUUCAAACCCUUGCUUAUAUACACCUACAUGAAAUUUUCUUCAUAUCUCACAAACUAUGUAUUCAAAUACUAUAAAACUUUGAUUUAUAGCUUUUUAACCUAAUAACACGCACUUAUAGAAAUUUUGAGCCAAAUGUUUAUCCAAAAACUCAAGAUAUGGCUCCAACUACUACUAUCAAUAAAAACAAAUCACUUAUUGUCUUUGAAUUAAAUACACUUUCUUUAAUGUCUUAUAAUUCCUUUAUUCAAACUUAGAAUUCAUCAAACAAUAUAUAAAAAUUGUAGCUAAAAAAGUGCUCUCUUCAACUACAAUUGCCGAUCUUUUGUUGCUCUUUGUAAGUGUAUGUUAUAUCCCAAAGAGUGACAAUAGAUACCUUAAUUUAGAGCAUCUAAAACUCCUUCAUAAAAACUUCAAAUUGCACAAAAAUUUCAUCCAAAUCAUAUCCAAAAAUCUAAAAUUAUUGAUUCUAGAUUCAAAAGCUCAAAUAAAUUUAGAAAAGAAAUCUUAAUCUCUAAUAAGGCCUCAAAGAGCAUCCUUGAAGUCCAUGGGGCAUGACAUUCAACCAAUAGGGAUGAAGAUCUUUAUACCUUACCUUCAUCCAACUAUACCUUACUUUCAUCCUUUCGAAUAAACCUUCUAAUAGUUUUGACUUUCAUCUUUAGGCUCCAUUCUUCUCUUAAGAUUUAUACUAAAUAUCUAAAUCCUACAUAAUAUAAAUACUAUAAUCAAAAUAGAUAAACCUCCAAAUAUAUUUUCUUAUAUCAACUCUCUUUAAAUUUACUUAAUAACCAUUCUAAUCUACAUCAAGAUUUACAAACAUAAUAUAUAUUUUAAUUAAUAUUUUACACACUAUAAGCAACUACAAUACAAUAUCAGGUCGAUAAGUAAACUUGAAAUCAAAUCUUGAUGAAAAUAUGGUCCAAAAAACUUGGAAACAAUUCAAAAUAAGUAUUAACAUAAAAUAUUUGAGGUCCUUGUGAUCUAUAUAUGCGGUGACUAGACUUAAGGCAUCUUCUAAGUAAUGAUGCUAUUCUUAAAAUGAAUCUACAAUUGCAAAGAACUCCUUAUUGUGGGUCUCAUAAUUAAUCUUGAUUUCUAAAAAUUUCUAGAAUAAAAAGCUACUGAAUGAAAUUUGUAAUCUAUUCCCAUUUGUAAUAAUAUUGCAUUCAAGGUAAAGUGUGAUGCAUUUGUUUCUAUGAAAAAUGCUUGGAAGAAGUCAAUUUGAUAUAAGAUUAGUGUAUAAAUAAACUUCUUUUUUAUAGCAUAAAAUAAUACUUUGACUUCUUUAUACUACUCAAGUUUGUUUUUAUAAAUCAAACAUAUAAAUAGACUUGCAACUUAAAAAAAAUUCUUAAUAAAGAUUUGAUAGUAACUAGCAAAGUUUAAAAAGUAUUGCAUGUUUCUUACUGUUCUUAGAAUCUUUCAAUUCAUGAAAGUCUAAAACUUCUUCAGAUCUAUCAUUAGCCCUUCAUUAGAAAUAAUGUAUCUUAAGAAGUCAACUUGAAUAGUAUAGAAUUCAUACUUUUUUAUCUUAGCAUAUAAUCUUACAUUUCUAAGUUUUUAUAAUACACAACAAAUAUGAAUUUCAUACUCUUCUAUGUUCUUAGAGUAGAUUAAAAUAUUGUAGAAAUAACAAAUGAUAAAAUCAUCAAAAAAAUCAUAAAAGACAUCAUUCAUUAGAUAUUGAAAAGCAGCUUGUAUAUUUGUGAGUCCAAAAGAUAUGACAUUAUAUUCAAAAUAUCCAUACUUGACUCAAAACAUAAUUUUUUAUUCAUCUCUUUUUUAAUAUGUACCAAAUUAUAUAUUCUUUGUAGAUCUAUUUUUUUAUAAAUCUUUACUUGAUUCAAUUGAUUAAAAAGUCUUAAAAGAAAAGAUAGAAGAUAUCUAUUCUUGAUGGUGAUCUUAUUGAGUCCUUAAUAGUCUAUCCACAUCUGCAGAGGUUUGUUUGUUUGUUUGUUUAUUUAUUUUUUUUUUCUUUACAUAUAAGAUAGAAGCCUUCACUAGAAAUUUAAAAUGACGUACAAAAUUCUUAGCUAAGUUCUUUUGAAUGUAUUCUUUGAGUGUAGCCAACUUGUUUUGUGAUAGAAUAUACAUUGGUACAAAUAGCCAUUAAGUUCUUUUGUCAAGAUCAAUAGAACAAUCAUAAAGACAAUGCUCUGAAAGAAUAUUAGCAUUCUUUAUUUCAAAAAUAUCUUAAAAAUCUUAAUACUAGCUAAAAAUACCACUUAACAUCAUUUUACUAUCAAAAAUGGACAUGAUAUAUAAAAUAAAAGAUAACCCUUCUUUUAUAAUACACAUAAAAGCUCUUAAAUCUACCAAUAAAGGUUUGAAUGUAAUAAAUUUAUUGGAGGAUAUUGAAGAUGUACAAAUAGAAGCAACUCCAAUAGAGUGUAACAAUCAAGGAUGUCUUACAUUUGCAAAGAAUUCAAAGCAUUAUUUAAGGACCAAACACAUUGACAUUCAAUAUUACUUUGUAAGAGAGAAGAUUGAAAUGAGAGUGAUUGAUAAGAAGUAUUGUGCAAAGGAGGAAAUGCUUGCUGAUUUAUUGAUAAAGAUAUUAGUAAAAGAUAGACACCACAUGUUAACAAAGGCAUUAGAAUUAAAAGCCAUUUGACGAAUAGCAAAGUGGGAGUGUUAAAAUAAAAGUAGAAUAAAUUAUCUUAUAGAUGAUAUUAACUUAGGUAAGUUACUAGUGGUCAAAGGUUUGAUUCUUGCUAUAUGGUAAGGGCAUCCAAUAGAUAUAGGACAAAGUCAUGGACUAAGAGUCAAAGUCAAAAGGAUAAAGUAUUAACAAAGGAAUAUCCAAAGACUAAGUAUGAAUCAUUAAUAUGUGUCAUAGGAUACCCUAUAAGCUCGUGAGAUGCCAAAAGGAUCCUAGGGCCACGUAUAUAAAAGUCAAAGAGUAAAAGUUAUCUUUUACAACAACAACUACUACCUAUAAGUAAUCGAUAUUGGAAGUGAGAGACAUCUUAUUCCAUACUCUCUUUGUAUACAACCUUGCUGAUGCUAAGUAUUGUAUCUUCAAAGUGCUUAUUCUUCAAUAUUUUGGAUCUUCUUUGGAUCCAUUACAAGUUUUUUAUUGCAAAUGAUGUACUCCAAAAAGUCAACUUGAAUAGUAUAAAAUACACACUUUUCUAUCUUUGUAUAUAAUCUUGCAUCUUUUAGUUUUUGUAACACACAAAAAAUAUGAACUUCAUACUCUUCUAUGUUCUUAGGAUAGAUUAAAAUGUCAUCCAAAUAAUAAACAACAAAAUCAUUAAGAAACUCAUGAAAGACAUCAUUUAUUAGAUGUUGAAAAGUAAUUGGUGUAUUUGUGAGCCUAAAAGGUAUGACAUUAUAUUCAAAAUAUCCAUACUUAGUUCAAAAAAUAGUCUCCCAUUCAUCUCUUUCUUUGAUACAGACUAUGUUAUACGUUCUUCAUAGAUCUAUUUUUAUAUAAAUCUUUACUUUAUUUAGUUGAUCAAAAAAUCUUGAAAUCAAAGAUAGAAGAUACUUAUUUUUGAUGGUGAUCUUAUUAAGUCCUCGAUAAAUCACACACAUUUGCAAAGAUCCAUCUUUUUUCUUUAUAAAUAAGGUAGGAGUACCAGUUGGAGAUUUGGAAUGGCGUAUAAAGUUCUUAGCUAAGUUCUUAUCAAUGUAUUCUUUGAAUGCAGCUAACUCAUUUUGUGAUAGGCUAUAGAUUGGUCAAAAUAGUAGUUGAGUUCCAUCUUGAAGAUUGAUGGUACAAUAAUAAAGACAAUACUCUAAAAGAAUAUCUACAUUUUUUUUUUCAAAAACAUCGUUGAAAUCUUGAUACUUGCUAAGAAUACCACUUAAUAUCUUUUCACUAUCAACAAUGGGCAUGGCUUAUAUAGCAAAAGUUGGUCCUUCAUUUGUGGCAUGUAUAAAAGAUUUUGUACCUACUAAUACAGAUUUGAAUAUACUAGACUUAUAGAUUUUUACUUGCCUAGCAAGACCUUGGGUUAGACUAUGAGAAAAAUUGAGAUUGUGAGAAAUGUAGUCUAUCUGAGGAUUAUAUCUUUCUAAUUACAAUAAUCUUAAAAUGAUUGAAUUAGAAGGAGAUUUAAUCACAUUAAAUAUUACAAAACUAUUGUAACUACUAAUUUCUACUUUAUAGGAAUAAUUUCAUAUGUAACAUCCUUAGAUAAUAAUGAAUGUUGAUCUAUUAUUUUUACAUGGACAUGUUUGAUAUUCUUAACUAAGGAUAUAUCUUAUUUUUUGAUAAAGUCUUCAUCUAUAAAACAAGCCAAGGCUCUUGAAUCCAACAAGGCUAAGACUUUAUAAUUUUUUGGUCCUAAAUAGACUUCUAUUUUAAAAGAAGGUGAGGGAUCACUGGAGAAGAUAGGACCUUUGCUAGAUGUUGCAUAUGAUUCUAGCCACAUGAUUCCUAAUGUAAUUGAAUUAAUUGUUUUUUGACACAUUGUCUUCUUUGGCAAUUGUGUUCUUAUUUUGUAAUUCCAUUGUUUUUUUAAAUAAUUUUGAGUAGUAUGUUUAGCUUUUUCAUAAUAUAAGCAUAAGUCCUUUUGACAUUGUCGACUAUUUUCCUACUUUGUGAGGGAUUUAAAAUGUACCAUUGUUAUGAUGUAAAAUGGCUAAUAGGUAAAAAGUUGAAGAAAGUAUCAUAUUUUUGAAGAUCUUAUUUCAAUUAUAUUGAAAAAAAUUAUCUUAGGAAAAUAGAUAAUAGUCAAGGAAUAGAAAAAUUAAAGGUGUUAAUACUGCCAUUUUAUAAAAUAGGCUUCUACUUACUUUGUAGGACCACAAAUAAAAUAAAAUAAAAUAAGAUAGAUUAAAAAAAAAUAAUAUAAACAUAUUUUAAAAAAGUAAAGAGUAGUUUUCAGCAAAAAUUAUCUAAAAAAACUAGAUAUUGAUACCUAGAGAGGGCCAGUUAUGAAUCAAGGUCGAAAUCAGACCUUGAGGCUUAAAAUCAUGCUCUGAUAUUGAUUCUAGGAUUCUUUGGAAAAUCAAAGAGUGGAAUUAGUGAGCAGAUCCAACAAAGUUUUAAUGAGCAUUAUUUUGGAUGAUUUGGAUUUGUAUUGACUUUGUAAGAUCUUUGCAAAGUUGGAGUUUAUUUUGGGUGACUCUAGAUUUGUGAAAUAAAGUGGGUGAUACUUUUUGGAGAAUUUUGUAAAUUUGAUAAUAGAUCUGUAGAUGAAUUUUUGAGAGUUUGUGGAUUUAUAUGUGUUUAAUAUAUGCUAUGAGUUUGAAUUAGAUUAAAAGACUGGAUUAAGGAUUAUUGAGGUUUAACUGAGUUAGGGUCUCGAAAAAUAGAGUUUUAGGUCUGAUGAGGAUUUCUUAGUUUUAUUGCAAUCUAUCACUUGAACUGGAGUAAAAAUUAUGUGUGUGGAUAGUAGACCUGUUUUCUUAAGUUUAUGAGAAAUUUGAGAUCAAUUACAUGGUUCAAUAAGGAAAUAUUAACACUAAAAAUUCAACAUUUAAAUUUGAAAAGAAGGUUGUCCAACACCUGUACAAAUAUUAGAAUUGAUCUUCUUUUUAGAAAGCUUUAUCUUCUUCAAAAUUUUUGUGCUUGUUUUCAACUUAAAUGUGAAGAGGUAUGCAAAAUUUGAGUUAAAAUCAAUAGUUUAUUCAUUAAUUAUUGAGAUUUAAAUCUAUUAUAGGAAUUACUUGAGAUUAUUUAGGAUUUGGUUAAGAUAUAAUUAAGAUUUGAUUAGGGUUUGAUUAAGGAUUGUUUAGAUUUAUUUAGGAUUUGGUUAGAAUUUGGUUAAGAUUUGACUAAGAUUUGAUUAAGAUUUGUUUAGAAUUUGAUUAGAAUUUGGUUAGGAUUUGUUUAGGAUUUGGUUAGGAUUUAUUUAAGAUUCGAUUAGGAUUUGAAUAGAAAUUGUUUAGGAUUUAACUAAUAUUUAUUUAGGAUUUGAUUAGGAUUUUUUUAGGAUUUGACUAAGAUUUAUUUAAGAUUUUUUUAGGAUUUGAGUAGGAAUUAUUUAGGAUUUAAGUAGGAUUUAUUUGAGAUUUGUUUAGGAUUUGACUAAGGUUUGGUUAAGAUUUGAUUAGGAUUUAAUUAGGAUUUGAUUAAUAUUUUUUUAGGAUUUGACUAAGAUUUGGUUAAGAUUUGAUUAAGAUUUAAUUAGGAUUUGAUUAAGAUUUGUUUAGGAUUUGAUUAGAAUUUAGUUAGGAUUUAUCUAGGAUUUGAUUACGAUUUUAUUAAGAUUUGUUUGGAAUUUUAUUAGGAUUUCAUUAGGAUUUGUUAUGAUUUGAAUAGGAUUUAAUUAAUAUUUCUAUUUUAACAUUUUAUUAAGAUUUUUAUUUUAAUAUAUUUUUGAAUUUCUAUAUUAUUUUUUUAUAAUUUCUUUAAAAGGUUUUUAGAAAUACUUUUUAUUCUUACAUAAUUUUUUUGUAAUUUUGAUUGAUUGAUAUUUGAUUAUACUUGCUAAUCUUUAAUUAUAAUUUAUUUAAGAAUCUGCUAGAAUUUUUAUGACUUAUUGUUGUAAUUUUCUUUUUAUCUUCUACAACUAAAUACCCAGUGCAUUUUCAAGCCAAACACCAUGUAUUACAACAUCAUAUUGAUUUUCAUUAGUUCUAGCUUUGAUAAAUUAGUUUGUGAAAACUUAAGAGUUGUUGUUAAAAUUUAAUUUAUUCCUCUACAUCCAUAUCUUUGUUGUUGAUGUCUUUCAAAUAAUCAAUUGUUAUAUGCAAUGGCUUGAGCAAUAAAUUGUUUUAAAGAUUUUAUCUUUGGCAUUAUCAAUAACAAGUAUUUGACAUUAUCCUUCAAUCUAUAUUAAAAUUGAUUAAUAAGGGCUUGGUCAUUUCAAUUCAUGUCACAAGAAAGUUUUAGAAUUCAAUAGCAUAUAUGGUGGCUGACAGUGAUCCUUGCCAUCAAAAUAAGAGUUUGGUCUGUGCUAUUUUUUCUUGAUCAAUUUUUCUAAAUGUGGCCGUAAACACUUCUAGUAAUGAAGAAAAAUUAUAAAAGAGUUGGAAUUUUUUUUUAUUAUAAGUACAAAUUAAGAGAGAGCACUUCCUAAUAGAAGUGUAUAUAUGAAUCUGACUUGAGUAAAUCCAUCGGGGUAUUGGAAAUGAUGCAAUCUUAGAUAGAGCUUGAUUUAUUGUAAAAAUCCUCAAAAUUUUGAUCUUGUUCCAUCAAACUUCUCAAGCAUACUAGUUCUUAUCCUUGUCAUACUUCUAGAAGAAAAACUUCCUAGAUUCGAUUGUGAGGUUGAUCUACUUGCUUCUUUUAAUUGCACAACUUUGUAAUGUAGACUCUAAACUUCUUUCAUAGGCAUAGGCAUAGUUCCUCAAUGAUCCAUGUUGGAAAUACAUGAGAUUUGCACUCUUAGAGUAUUGACAAAGUCAUGAAGAUCUGCAAUAGUUACAAAUCUAUUCUAACUUUUGCUUGGAGUAGCAUCCAUAAUCUUUCUUUCUACAAACAAUUCAAAUAAAUCCAAAAAUUAAAUUUAAAAAAGAUAAUCUAUAAUCUUUAAUAAAGAUUUCUACAAAGAAGGGUAAUCCACUCUCUUUAAUGAAAAGAUUAGUGUUAGAAAAUAAGAUUUUUUGUUUAAAGGUAGAUAAUUUGUAACCUUCAAAAUACAAAAAUAAAAGUGGAAUAAUCCACUUACUUCUAUAACAAGAUAGAGAUAAUAUGUUAGUGCUCUUGUCAAACUAUCAAGGACAUAAAUCUUGAAGAUGGAAAAUUCUCAAUACAUUCUUAAGUCAUUAAAGAGAACUAGAAAGUCUCUAAAAAAUGUGAUGUAAUAUUUGACUAGAAUGGCUAUUGCCAAAAACAGAAAAGACUAGAAAGUCUUGAAAUAAGACUAAAGAUUAAAAAGGUUUUGACAAGAGUGAAGAAGGUUUCACUCUUGCUUCUAUAUAUACUUUCUAAUUAGGAGCUACAUAGCAAUAUUCUAUAGGACCUCCAACAUGUAUUGACUUUGCUAGCCACAUGUCUUAACUUACAAGGCAAUUUAUCUAUGUAUGCACCACAUAGUUAGCUUGUUCCACAAGCUAGUAGAUGGAGUUAACUUAUUCUACAAGCUACCAAUACAUUGUCGUAUUAUGUAUUGUCUUGCUCAAGAUUACACCAGGCACCUAGCUAUGGAAGGCGAGGUUGUGUUUCACAAGUAUCCAAAAAUCCUAAUAGAUUUUAUCCAUAUGAAAAGAAUAAAAUCUGAAUUUUGAUUCAAAAGUGCAAAAAAAUAUUCUUUUUAGUAGCCUUAAUUAUACAUAAAUUCCAAUUACCUUGUUACUUUCAUAUUUAAGCAAUUUAGAUUUUUCUUAUAAAUCCCAAUCCUAAUCAGUGAGCUUUAAUAAGCUGUAACAUCCAAUAUGACCAUCCACUUGAUGUAAAAUUUUGUAUGCAAUUAUCAAUGUAGAUCUUCUACAUGCUCAAUACUUUUUAUUCCAAUCCAACUUACAAAUUGUGAAAAAACCUCCAAAAAUUGUACUAAUGUCACUUGGCCGCUAACUUGAAAAGUGAAGUAAAAAUCCUAGUAGUGAUUUCUCCUUUUUCAACCAUUAACUUUGACUCAUAAUUGGUAUGAAGCUUGAUCUUCAAGUCCUUCAACACCAUACCAAAUUUCACCAUGAUUCAACUAAUAGAUCUUUAGAUAUCAUAGAAAUCCUACCCAACCUCAAACUGCCAACUUCCAAAACUCUCUUGUGCUAAAAACCAGAUAUCUCUAAACCAUGCUGUUACAUUAACACAAAAUUUUGUAUACAUUCAGUACACCUAGUAAUCCAAAAAAUAUCAAAUUUUCAACUGUAGAUGUUAUAUCAAUUGCACAAACUAGCCAAAAUUACUAGCCCUAAUUAUAUUGUAUAAAACCCAAAUCACCAAUAUAAACCUUGAUUUUGAACAAUAAUUGUUAAGUCUUCAAAAAUCUUCUAAAAAAAAUCCUUAUGCUUUUGAAAAGAAUUUCAAGCUAGCUCUCAAAUCCUAUCCUAUAAUCUUUAAAUGAAUCCCUAUUUUACCCUAGGCUGUCAUUUUAGUGGCUAGUGUCACGAAUUUAGAAUAUUGACUGGAAAUUUAAAUAAGAAGCUCAAGAAGAAUCGGAAAGAACUAGAUUAGUCAGAUGAAUACAAGAACAACAUUAGAGAGGUAAGCUAGAACUCCAAGAGGUGUAUUGUCGAGAAUGAGGAUCCUCUCAGUCUUGACUCCUAUAUAUACUGCAAACUAGGAAGCUUCUUAAGUAGCUUUUACAAACUGGAAACCUUCUCAAGCAACUUCUACGAGCUUGAAAACUUCUUAAGUAGCUUCUACAAACUAUAAAGCUUCUCUAGAAUCUUCUAGAAUCUUCUACAACUUCAUAGUAUAUAUCUUUGACAUCAUUCCCCCUCCUUUAGCUUCGAGGUCUUUGAGAAGCACUCCUAUUCCAAGUGAGUACCAACGUAAGAAGUUAAAAAUUUGUCACAUAGUAUGUGCAAUAUAUUCCAAUUAUUGUUUGGAAACAAUAAAUAAUUAAUUUGUCUUUGUAAUCAAUGAUAGUAUCCUACGCCUUUGAUUUUUGACUAGGCAUAAACUUUCAUAUCUUCAUUGUGAAAAUGCCUUGCAAACACUCCUUCGGGAAGAUCACCAUAGGCAGGUUCUACCUCAAAUAUAAUCACUAGUAAUCUGUUACUAGGUAUCCUCCGUUAUCUGUGGUACAGGCGGUUCUUCAUGUCGGGGUCGUCUUCGUGAGAUAGUUGGUUGAGAAGACAUGACUGGUAUGGUAUCUAUUUCUUGGUUAUCCAUAUCAAACUGAAAAAAUAAGCACUAAACAUGGAAGAAUGGGCUCAGGUGACAGAUUUAUAGUCUCUAACUAUGUCUUUUUGAGAGGUUCUUUCUUCCCCUUCUUUGUAAGGCCGAGGAUUAAGAGGCUUUAAGGAAAAAGGACUUCACUAAAAAACUUUCAUCGAAAGGACUUAAGUUUUUGAGGAUAGCGUCGAUGAAACUCCUGUACUUUUUGUGACACAUUGACAAGAUUUUUUGCUAGUUCCCAUGUGCGCUCAUUGAUAUCAUAGCUGCUCUAAUGUACUAGGUACUCUGAUUUCUCCCACUUACGUUGUAAAUCUAAUACCUUUUCGUAUUCCUCAUGAUUCUCAAUUUCAAUACUAGGUGGCGAACAUUGCACUCUUUUAGGAAAAGACAACUCUCGAUAAGGCUCUAACAAAGAAACAUAAAAGAUUGGGUGUACCUUCAUAACAGCCGAUAACUCAAACGGUAUGCCACUUGAUUGAUUUGCUUCUGGAUGACAAAUGGUCCCAAUCUCUGGUAGUCCAAUUUAUCACAUGGCUACUUGGUUUUGAUAUUCCGUCGAAGCAGCCAUAUUUUAUCUCCAAUUUUGAAAGUAGGUGUUUGAUUCCAAAAUUUAUCUCCAGACGCCUUGUAAGCUUCUUGGAUUGUUUGCAAUUGAAGCUUCAACUUAGUUAGAAGCUCCGAUAGUUGUUUCACAAAUCCUUUAGCUGCCGGGUUAUUAUUGGUUAAUGGAUUCAACAAAUGAAGUUUCGAAUAAUAUCCAUAGUUGAAAAAGAAUGAUGUUCGUUGAUUCAACGCAUGAAGGGUGUUGUUAUAUGUAAACUUGGCUGAUGAUAGAUAUGCACUCCAUUCACCUUAUUGAUAGUUGAUGCUGCAUCGUAAAUAUUGCUCUAAAGUUUGAUUCACCCAUUUUGUUUGGCCAUCAAUUUGAGGAUGAAAAGCCAAAGAAAGCUUGAUAUCCACCUUCAAUAUUUUAAAGAGAGAUCUCUAAAACUUUGAUACAAAUUGGGUUCCUUGAUCCGACAUGAUAUCAUCUAAUAAACCAUGAUAUUGAUACACACUAUCAAAGAAGAGUCUUGCUGUGUCUUUGCUAGAUGAUGUUUUCUUGCAAGGGACAAAGUAUGCCAUCUUUGUAAGCCAAUCUACUACAACAAAGAUGCUGUCAAAUAAAUUCGAUGGCGGCAAGUCCAUAAUGAAGUCCAUAGAAACUAAAGACCACAGCCGACAUGGAAUAGGCAAUGGCUGAAGAAGACCAUAAGGAUGAUGUCGAGGAUUCUUCGAUCUUAAACACAUGUCACAGGAGAGGACAAAAUCUUUGACAUCCUUCCACAUUUGAGGCCACCAAAAAUCUUGGGAAAUAAGUUCCAAGAUCUUAUUGAAUCCAAAAUGUCUCGCAGUUGAAAAGUUGUGUCGAAAUUAGAGAAUUCAAAGUCAUGCUGAUCCCUUUGGAAUAUACAACCGCUCUUCAAAGUAUAAAAGAUCUCUUUCCACCUUCAAUUUGUCAUUAUUGACACAUUGAGUGAUAUCGAGGGCUAUAGAAUCUCCAAUAGUCACAAUACAUACAUUGGCUUUAUAGUAGAACAAAGCCUCAAUUGUUCUGACUUCAAUAAUGUUGUACACUGUUGAUUAAAUGCUGCUUCUCUAGUCUUUGAUACUAGAUACGAUUUCUUUGAUAAUACAUCAGAUAGUCCUUGUUGCUUCUUAGGUUGAUAAGUAAUAACAGAAUCAAACUUGAAUAGCAACAUAUUCCAUUGAGCUUGACAACGAUUCAAAACCCGAGUCGACAUGAAGUAUUCUAAAUUCUUGUGAUCCUUGUAUAUGAUCACCGAAUCCACAGCACCUUUGAGAAAGUGAUGCCAUUUUGAGAAAGAAUCCACUAUUACAAGAAGUUCUUUAUCGUGGAUCUCAUAGUUGAUCUCAGCAGCAAAAAACUUUCGAGAGUAGAACGCAACUGGAUGAAGCUUCUCAUCUAUGCCUAUCUGCGAAAGUACAGCUCCCAUAGCAAAAUCUGAAGCAGCAGUGUCGUAUUGUAAAUGCUUACAGUUUGUAAAAAUUACUUAGAACAUAUUAUAUGUUAAUAAAUCUAGAUGUGUGUUAGAGUGGCUGUCACGGACCAAAAAUACAAACAAAAAAUCUAAACAAGAAGUUCAAGAAGAAAUGACAAGAACUAGAUUAUCAGAUGAGUACAAGAGCAACGCCAAGAGAAUUGAGCUAGAGCUUCAAGAGAUGUGUUGUCGAGACUGAAGAACUCUUCAGCCUCGACUCCUAUAUAUACUAUUGGCCUAUGGUUCUAAGGAAGCACAUCAAGAAGCUUCCCAAGAACUAUGAAGCUUCUCAAGCAACUACCCAAGAGCUAGGAAGCUUCUCAAGUAACUUCCUAGAAUCUACUAGAAUAUUCUAAGAAUCUUCUAGAGCCUUCUAAGGGAAUCUUUAGAGAAUCUUCAAAGAAUCUUUAGAGAAUCUUUAAAGAAUAUUCUAAGAGAAUAUUCAAGGAAUCUUUUGGAAGUUUCUAGAGACUUCUUUCUAGAAGGUUCUAGAAACUUGUCUCUAGAAAGGUCUAAGGACUAUGUCCCUAACAUCACCUCCUUCUUUAGCUUCGAGAUCUCCGAGAAGCAAUGUUAUCGUCAGUCAAUACCAACGCAAGAAAAUGAAGAUCUGUCGCAUAACCUCUGCUAUGAACUCCAAUUGUUGUUCACGAGGUAAGUGAUUCAAUGGUCCUUAAAGCCAACGGUAGUGGCCCAUGCCUUCAACUUCUGACCAAGCAUGAACCUCCGUGUCUUCAUUGUGAAAUUGUCCUGCAAACACUCCUUCUGGCUGACCAUUGUAGGCAGGCUCGACCUCAAAUACAAUCACCAGCGAUCUAUUGCUCGAAAUCCUUCGACGUCGUCGUGGUGCAAGCGGUUCUUCAUCUCGCAAUCGUCUUCGUGAGCUAGUUGCUUGAGAUGACAUGACAAGUGUAGUAUCUUGGCUAUCCAUAUUCAAAGGCUAAAACAAUAAGAACAAACUUGGACUACUAACAAAGUUCUACGCUAUCUUGGAGAGAAUGACUACAUCAACUAUGGAUUUUGGUGGUGCUCUCUCCUCUUUUCUGUUUUUUGGAUGAGCAAGCUUCAGUAAGAAGCUAUCGUCGAACCGGCUUGGGUUUCUCAGGAUAUCGUCGAUGAAACUCCUGUACCUUUUGCGGCGCAUUCGUGACAUUUUCGACCGGCUCCUAUGUUCGUUCAUUAAUAUCGUAACCGCUCCAAUGCACAAAGUAUUCUAAUUUACCCCAUCUUUGCCGUGAAUCCAGGACCUUUUCCACCUCGUAUUCUUCGUGGUUCUCUAUUUCUAUGCUAGGUGGUGGACAUUGUACUCUUCCAGGAAAAGACGAUUCUCAAUAAGGCUCCAACAAAGAAACAUGAAAGACAGGAUGUACCUUCAUAGUAGCUGGUAACUCCAAACGAUACGCUACAGGAUUGAUCUGCUUCUGGAUAACAAAUGGUCCCAAUCUCCGAUAGUCCAAUUUGUCACAUGGCCGCUUGGUCUUAAUAUUUCGUUGAAGCAGCCAAACUUUGUCUCCAAUCGUGAAUUUAGGUGCCUGAUUCCGAAAUUUGUCCGCGGACGCCUUGUAAGAUUCUUGGGCAGUUUGCAAUUGAAGCUUCAAUGUAAUUUGAAGCUACGAAAGCUCCUUCACCAAUCCUUCAGCUGCCGAAUUGUUAAUCGUUGACGAACUCCAUAAGUCAAGCUUCGGAUGGUAUCCAUAAUUGGAAAAGAAUGGCGUUUGUUGAGUUGACGCAUGAAGGGUGUUAUUAUAUGCGAACUCAGCUAGCGGUAGAUAUGCGACCCAAUCAUCUUGUUGAUAGUUGAUGGUGUAACGUAAAUAUUGCUCUAAAACUUGAUUCACCCGUUCUGUUUGGCCGUCCGUUUGAGGAUGAAAUGCCGAAGAAAGCUUGAUAUCCACCUUCAAUAUUUCAAAAAGAGAUUUCCAAAACUUUGACACAAACUGGGUUCCUCGAUCCGAUACGAUAUCAUCUGGUAGACCAUGAUAUCGAUACACAUUAUCAAGAAAGAGUCUUGCUGUGUCUUCGCUUGACGAUGUCUUCUUGCAAGGGACAAAAUGCGCCAUCUUUGUAAGCCAGUCUACGACAACAAAAAUGCUGUCAAAUGAAUUCGAUGGUGGUAGAUCCGUAAUAAAGUCCAUGGAAACCGAAGACCAUGGUCGGCGCGGAAUAGGGAAUGGCUGUAGAAGUCCAUAAGGUCGAUGUCGAGGGUUUUUGGAUCUUGAACAAAUGUCACAAGAUACAACAAAAUCUUUCACAUCCUUCGACAUUUGAGGCCACCAGAAAUCGCGGGAAAUAAGUUCCAAGGUCUUAUUGAAUCCAAAAUGUCCCGCAGCUGGAAAGUCAUGACGAGAUUGAAGAACUCGGAGUCGUGUUGGCCCUUUUGGGAUAUACAACCACUCUUCGAAAUAUACUAGAUCUCCUUCCAUCUUGAAUUUAUCAUCACUAGCAUGUUGCUUGAUAUCAAGGGCUAGAGAAUCUUCAAUGGUUGCGGCCCGUACCUGGUCGAGGAAGACAGCAUCAAUUGGUACAAUAGCUAUGUUGAGCCAAAAUUUCUCUGGCUUCAACAAUGUCGUGCAUUGUUGAUCAAAUGCUGCAUCUCCAGCCUUUGGCGCGAGAUAUGAUCUCCUUGAUAAUGCAUCGAACAACCCUUGUUGCUUCCCAGGCCGAUAAGUAAUAACAAAGUCGAACCUGGAUAGCGACAUACUCCACCGAGCUUGACGCCGAUUCAAAACCCGAGCCGACAUAAAAUACUCCAAAUUCUUGUGAUCCGUAUAUACGGUCACUGGAUGUGCAGUUCCUUCAAGAAAGUGGCGCCACUCUUGGAAAGAAUCUAUUAUAGCAAGGAGUUCCUUAUCGUGGAUCUCAUAGUUGAUCUCAACAGCAGAGAAUUUUCGAGAAUAGAACGCAACUGGAUGGAGCUUCUCAUCUACGCCUAUCUAUGAAAGUACAGCUCCCAAAGCAAAAUCCGAAGCAUCUGUCUCUAAAUAAAAGGCCUUUAUAAAGUCCGGAUGUACCAAGAUUGGAGCUGUAGUAAAUACCAUCUUCAAAUCUUGAAAUGCUUUUUCUGCGAUAGGUCCCCAUUCGAGCUUGUCCUUAUACGUUAAUCGAGUGAGGGGGGCAGCAACUUGAGAAUAAUUCUUGAUGAAGAUCCGAUAGUAGUUAGCAAAUCCAAGAAAACAUUGUAUGUUCCUAACCGUCUUCGGAACUUCCCAAGACAUGAUUGCUUCCACCUUCUUUGGAUCCAUCUUCAAGCCUUCCGUAGUCGCGAUGAAUCCCAAAAACUCCAUCUCAGUUUGGUGAAAUAAGCACUUCUCCAAUUUGGCAUAGAGUCCUCACUCCCGUAGUUUUUUGAGUACCAGACAAACGUGCUUCUCAUGUUCUUCCUCAUUCUUAAAAAAUAUCAAAAUAUCAUCUAGAUAGAUGACAACAAAAUCGUCUAGAUGCUCUCGAAAGAUGUCAUUCAUCAUGUGUUGAAAGAUCGCUGGAGCAUUAAUAAGACCAAAUGGCAUGACAUUGUAUUCAAAAUAGCCAUAUCUUGUUUGGAACGCUGUCUUCCAUUCAUCUCCUUCCUUAAUUCGCACAAGGUUGUAAGCUCCCCUUAGGUCAAUCUUUGUAAAGAUCCUUGCACGCCCAAGUUGUUCUAGAAGACCAGAGAACAAAGGCAGUGGGUAGCGAUUCUUUUUUGUCACCUUGUUGAGACCUCGAUAGUCCACGCACAUCCGUAGUGAGCCAUCCUUCUUCUUCACAAAUAAGAUUGGUGCCCCAGCUGGCGACUUCGAAUGACGGAUGAAGUUCUUGGCUAGAUUCUCGUCAAUGUACUUCCGCAACUCAGUCAACUCCGUCUGCGACAAAUUGUAGAUUGGUCCAAAAGGUGGUUGUGCUCCUUCUUGUAAUUCAAUGGCACAGUCAUAGGGUCGAUGCUCUGGCAGCAUAUCAGCAUUCUUCUUUUCAAAGACAUCUUUGAAUUCUUCAUACUGCUUUGGAAUAACCAAAGUCGGAGUUGCAUCUUCUCGAGUCGGAGUUGCGAAGAUGACAAGAGGUGUAUUUUGCUUGGCUUCCUUCAUGAAAGCCCUUGCACCUAUAAACAAGGAUUUGUUUCUAGACAUUGUCUUGGCAGAUUCCACCUUCAAGGAGUUUGUUGGAAAUGUCACUUUCCGCAACUUCCAAUCUAUCAAUGGAUUAUAUCUAUCAAGCCAAGAUAGUCCCAAAAUGAUAGGACAUGAAGGGGUCUUGAUAACAUUAAAUACAAUAUUGCUCUCAUGGUUUUUAAGACGUACCUUCAAUGGUUUAGUUUCAUGGAUAACAUUGCCCGAAGACAAUGGUCGUCCGUCUAUAACUUCUACAUGGACAGGCUUAAGUUUCUUUACAAGAGAAAUAUUGUGAAGCUUGGCAAACUCUUCAUCUAUAAAGCAAGCAGAUGCACCCGAGUCUAAUAAAGCAUCGACUUGUAGUUCUUGAAUACCCAGAUGUAAAGGUACCAUAAAACAAUCUGAAGGUUGAGCUGAGAGAAAGGGACCUUGAUUAAUUUUGGAUGUUGAGAUGUCCAGCCGCACGGUCCCUAUUGUGGCUGGGCGUCCUUGUUUUCCUGCAUGCUUGUACUCCUGAGUCUUGUUGUUUGAGGCUUCUGUUUCUUCCGACAAUCUACAGCUUUAUGGCCCGCUUCUCCGUAAUAUAAACACAAGUUUUGUUCAAACCGUCGCUUCCUUUCCUCAACUGUGAGGGGUUUGAAACGUACCGCAUCAAUUUGCAUGGAUUCAGGAUCUGUGGAGUGAUUCUCUGGACCUUUUGAAAAUGUAACAAAUGCUCCAUCAUUUCUCCAGCUUAAUCGUCUUUCUUGUCGUAAUUCAAAGAGGCGGUUGUCACAAAUAAUUGCCUGAGAUAUAAGUUCUUCUAAAGUAGCCGCCUUAGGCAUGGUGAUCAAUAAGUUCUUGACAUCAUCUCUCAGUCCAUAUCGAAAUCGUGUCAUGAACUCCUUAUCAUUCCAAUCAAGAUCACAUGUAAGUUGUUGAAAUUUUGCAGCAUAGAUUGCAGCAGAACGUGAUCCUUGUCACAGAUUUUGUAUCUUUCUUUCAGCCACUCUUUCUCGAUCGCUAUCUCCAAACGCAGCAGUAAGUCUCUCUAUGAAAGCCUCUAGGUCGUACAAUAUUGAAGAAUCCUUCUCCAAUAGUGGAGCAAACCAAGAGCGAGCAUUUCCUGAUAGAAGAAUACCUAUGAAAGCAACCUGGGUAAAUCCAUUCGAAUAACGAGAAGGAUAUAGGCGUAGGUAAAGCCGUACUUGUUGCACAAAACCUCGGAAGUUGGCUCUUGUUCCGUCAAACUUGUCUGGCAUACUCGCUUUUGGUUCUUUCGUACUAAUCCUUGAAGUAUCCAUAGGGGUCGUAUGUGACACAUGUCUUGCUUCUCUCAGUCGAAUAAUCUCUUAUUGUAGGCUAUGAAUUUUGCGUCUAGCUUCUUCGGUCACUAGAUCAAUUUGAGGUUCUUUACUUGGAUUGCGAAGAAAUACAAUCUCCUUUCGUACACUAUUCAUAAGAGCUUGAAGAUCUGCAAGAGUUGCCACUCUAUUGUCUACUUGUGGAGAUGCACUGUCUAUGACCUGGUCUACUUCAAUAUUUAGAGAAUAGAUGGAUUAAAAUUUUGAGAGAAGAAGAAAUUGCUAAGUCUCUUGGAGAAAAUUGUAGCACUACCUGUCACUAAAACCUACUCGGAGAAAAGAAAAAAAAACACUAAACGAUUUCAGUUUUAGAGGAGGGUAAUCCGCAACCUCUAAAAAUGCCUCAAUGCUUUCGAGAAGAGGGGUAAUCCGCACUCUAUCAAGAAGGCAAAGCUCUGAAAUCAAUGUUAACAGUCUUUUUUACUAGCUAUGCUAAACAAAAAGAAGGAAUUAAAAUCAGUCCAAGAGAGGGUAAUCCGCAACCCUUAGAACGCUCAAGUAUCUUCAAGGAAAGGGGUAGUCCACUCUCUGCCUCAAAGAACUAAGCUCUGAUAUUGUGAUUGAAAAAAUAUCAGUUUAGAGGAAGGUAAUCCGCAACCCCUAAAGCGCUAGAAUACCUUCAAGAAGAGGGGUAAUCCGCUCUCAAACAAGAAGGAUUCAACUCUGAUAUUAAGAUAAAGGCAGUCUCGACAAACUGUCAUGGACCAAAAAUACAAACAAGAAAUGUAAACAAGAAGUUCAAGAAGAAAUGACAAGAACUAGAUUAUCAGAUGAGUAUAAGAGCAACGCCAAGAGAAUUGAGCUAGAGCUUCAAGAGAUGUGUUGUCGAGACUGAAGAACUCUUCAGCCUCGACUCCUAUAUAUACUAUUGGCCUAUGGUUCUAAGGAAGCGCAUCAAGAAGCUUCCCAAGAACUAUGAAGCUUCUCGAGCAACUACCCAAGAGCUAGGAAGCUUCUCAAGUAACUUCCUAGAAUCUACUAGAAUAUUCUAAGAAUCUUCUAGAGCCUUCUAAGGGAAUCUUUAGAGAAUCUUCAAAGAAUCUUCAAAGAAUCUUUAAAGAAUAUUCUAAGAGAAUAUUCAAGGAAUCUUCUGGAAGUUUCUAGAGACUUCUUUCUAGAAGGUUCUAGAAACUUGUCUCUAGAAAGGUCUAAGGACUAUGUCCCUAACAGUGGCUAGUAGAUUAAAUUAAAAAGAGUUGGUAUAAGAAACUUUAUUUUGUUUCUUACUUGUUUUGAUUUUGACAUUAAUAUAUAUAUAUAUAUAUAUAUAUAUAUAGGACCUAAAUAUAUAGUAUAAAGCUUAAGAGAAGAUUGGGGCCUAAAGAAGAAAAUCUUAACUAAUAGGAGGCUUAUUGAGAGGGAUGAAAGCAAAGCAUGGUUGGAUGAAGACAAGGAAUGGAAAACUUCAUUCCUAUUGGUCAAAGGCCAUGCCCAAUGGGCUUCAAGAAGGCUGCCCGAGGUCUUAUUAGAGAUUAGGGUUCUUCUUUCGGAGGAAUUCGGAGAAUAUAAACUAGGGUUGUAAAUUUUAGGAUUUGGGAUACAAUUUGUGUUCAAAAAUUAGAGGAUUUGGAGUUAAGGUGAAGAAGUUAUAGUCGUUUGAAGUUAAGGUAUUAAUUUAAGACAUACUGUUACUCUUUUGAGGAUACGAGGAGUUUUACAGUAGCUUUUGAAGAUCGGAAGGUGCGACUUGAACGACAAUUUCAAGGCCUGUAUCUUUGAUGAAAAAGUUAUUACUUUUGGAGUUUAUAUGAAGGAGUUAUAAGGAAUUGAAGGCGGCGCUUCCAAAUCAAAUGCAGUAAGUAAGCGGUUUUGUUUAUAGUAAUGGUUGGAGCCAUAACUUGAGUAUUCGGACGAAUUUUUGGCUCAAACUUUUUUCAAAAUAUAAAAUUUUUUGUUAAAAAGCUAUACAUAUAAAUUUAGUGAAAUUUGAGCUUAUAUUUUGUGAGAUAUGAAGAAAAUUGCAUUUGGGUAUAUAAAGACAAGGGUUUGAAGUGACUAUUAGUGUUUUCAAGAUAUCUCAAGAUCCGCAAUGAGUUUGUGGUUGAAAAUUGUUGUAGAAGUUAAUAAGAAUAUAUUAGUAUCUCAUGUAAAAUUUGAAUUUUUUUGGAUGGUCGCAUUAGAAGACAUGACGUGUUGAAUUUUGGAAAAAUCUCCACAUAAGAAUAUACAAGGUUUUUGAGGAUUUUAUCAUAUUUUGGGUGUUGUUGGUUACUUGAGGCUUGUAUAUUUGGUGUAAUUGCUCAAAAAAGGGAAAAUUUACAUAUAAACUUACGGCUUGUUUUAUUUUCAAGCUUAAUCGAAUAAUUAGUGACAGCCAAAAGCCCAGCAUUUUCUUGAGGUAAACUCUAUCCCGACAUCGGUCUCCAAAUAGAAGGCCUUUGCAAAGUCCAGAUGUACCAAGAUUGGAGCCAUAAUAAAUGCCGUGUUAAGAUCUUGAAAUGCUUUUUCUACUAGAGAUCUCCAUUCAAGCUUAUCUUUAUAUAUCAACCGAGUGAGCGGAGCAGUAAUUUGAGAAUAAUUCUUGAUAAAGAUCUGAUAGAAGUUAGCAAAACCAAAAAAGCAUUGUACAUCUCUAAUUGCCUUUGGAACUGCCUAUGAUACAAUUGCUUCCACCUUCUUAGGGUCCAUCUUCAAGCCUUCCAUAGUUGCAAUGAAUCCCACAAAUUCUAUCUCAGUUUGGUUAAACAAGCACUUCUCUAAUUUUGCAUAAUGUCCUCGCUUGCAGAGUUUUUUAAGGACCAGACGAACAUGUUUCUCAUGCUCUUCUACAUUCUUGGAAAAUAUCAAAAUAUCAUCUAGAUAGAUGACAAAAAAAUCGUCAAGGUGUUCCCAAAAGAUGUCAUUCAUCAUGUAUUGAAAGAUUGCCGGAGCAUUGGUAAGACCGAAAGGCAUGACAUUAUAUUCAAAAUGGCCAUAUCUUGUACGGAAAGCUAUCUUCCAUUCGUCUCUUUCCUUGAUUCAUACAAGGUUGUAAGCUCCUCUUAGAUCAAUCUUUCUAAAGAUCCUUGCACACCCAAGUUGCUCUAGAAGACAUGAUAUCAAGGGUAAUGGAUAACGAUUCUUCUUUGUCUCCUUAUUGAGACCUUGAUAAUCUAGGCACAUCUACAACGAGCCAUCUUUCUUCUUCACAAAUAAGAUUGGUGCCACAACUGGCGACUUCGAAUGACAAAUGAAAUUCUUGACUAGAUUCUUGUCAAUGUAUUUCCGUAAUUCCGAUAACUCCAUUUGUGACAAAUUAUAGAUUGGGCCAAAAGGUGGUUGUGCUCCUUCCUAUAAGUCUAAUGCACAAUCGUAUGGUUGAUGCUUCGAUAGCAUGUUGGCAUUUUUCUUUUGAAAUACGUCUUCAAAAUCCUUAUAUUGCUCCGAUAUAUUUGCUGUCAAAAUCUUCUCUCCGCUAGUUGGAGUCGUAUAAAUAACAAAUGGUGUGCCUUCCUUAGAUGAUGUUGUAAACGUUCUUACUCCAAUAAAUAAAGGUUUUUUGAUUUGAGAUCUUCUAACAAGCUUACUCUCAGAAUGUUCUGUAGAAAAUGUCAUCCUUUGUAACCUCCAAUCUAUGCAUGGAUUAUAUAUUUCUAACCAAGAAAGACCAAGAAUAAUAGGGUUUGAUAGAGUUCUAAUAAUAUUCAAAAUAAUAUAACUACUAUGGUCUUUAAACGUCACCUCUAUAGGUUUUGAUUCAUGGGUGACACUACCACACAAUAAAAGGUCGAUUUAUUACUUCUACGUGAACAGAUUUAGGUUUUUGUACUAGAAGAAUCUAGUGACGUUUAACAAAUUCUUUAUCUAAAAAUCAAGCAAAUACUCUUGAAUCUAAUAACGCUAAGGUUUUUAGUUUUUGAGGGCCAAAAGAUAGAAGAAUGGUAAAAUAAUGGAUAGGUUGAGUGAAAAGAGAAGAACUUCUUGGGAUAGUUUCCAACUCUGUGGCCUUCUUCAUUGCAAUACAAACAUAAUCCUUCCUCCAUACGUCACUUUUUUUCUCCUAAAGUUAAGGAUUUGAUAUGUACUGCAUCAAUUUGCAUGUCAUCUAUCUCUGAAUGUGAAUUCAGCGUACUUACUAACAUAGUUGGAAUAUGGUGAGUCGUAUAUUAUCUUGAGCGUUGGUCUUGGCGACGUUGGAAUAUGCGAUUAUCAUACUUCACAGCUUGGCUAAUGGCUUCAUUGAGCAUUCGUGGAUUAGAAAGAGAUAAUAACAAAUCCUUCUCAUCGUCCCUCAAGUCCCAAUAAAAUUGAUUCAUCAAUGUUUUCUUGUCCUAGUUGAUGUUGUACGCUAAUUGUUUGAAAUUUGAUGCGUAGAUUCAUGUAAAAUGUGCCUCUUGUUGUAGCGACUGGAUCUUUGUUGUAGCCCAUCGUGCCUUGUCAUAUUUGCCAAAUGCUUUUGUAAACGCCUCUAAAAAGUUUUAAAGUUGUUCAAAAUUGACGAUCUUUUCUUAAACAAAGGAACAAACCAUGAUAGAGCUUGUCCCAUGCGCAAAGUUUCAACUAGUCCAACACGUGACUCCUCUGUCGAAUAGCGUUUGGAUUGUAGAGCUAUUAUCAAUCUAAUUUGAUUGACAAAACCUCAAAACUUCGAACACGUAUCAUCGAACUUGUUUGGAAGGCUAAUUCGGGGCUCCUUUCGUUGUAAGACCAACACUCCUUGUUGAACUAAAGGCAAAGUUGCUUCUCUUGGUGCUGAAGCUUAACGCUAGUGAAUCCUCGAUUGUGCCAUCCCGGAUGCUCCAUCAUCAUGAAGUCUUGCAAUGAUUCCUUCAAUUUCUAUAGUUUUUUAUGAUAACAUAGCAAAAACAUUCAUAAUGACAUGUAACUUGGACUCUGAACUUUUAGUCAUACUAAUAUCUUAACCUCUAGCCAUUUUAAGAGAAAAAAAGAAAUGACUGUACAAGAAGGCAAUAUUAGUUUAGAAGAGGAUACUCUGCAACCUCUAAAAUGCCUUAAAACCUUCAAGAAGAGGAAAAAUCUACUCUCUCAAAGAAAAAUAAGACUCCAAUAUUAUAAUAGAAGAAAUAUCAGUUUAGAAGAGGGUAAUCCACAACCUCUAAAAUAUCAGCACCUUCAAGCAGAGAAAUAAUCUACACUCUAAUGAGAAAGAACUAGCUCUGAUAUGAAAGAUGAGUGCAAUCUCCAGAAACUGUCACGAAUUUAGAAUACUAACUGAAAAUCUAAACAUGAAGCUGAAGAAGAAUCAACAAGAACUAUUUUAGUUAGAUGAGUACAAGAACAACACUAAAGAGGUGAGCUAGAGCUCUAAGAGGUGUUUUGUCGAGACUAAAGAUUCCCUCAGUCUCGGCUCCUAUAUAUACUACAAGCUAGGAAGCUUCUCAAACAGCUUCCACGAGCUUAAAAUUUUCUCAAGUAGCUUCUAUAAACUACAAAGCUUUUCUAGAACCUUCUAGAAUCUUUUACAACUUCUUAGUAUAUGUCCUUGAUAGCUAGAGGUCUGAUUUUGAUCUUGACUCACAAAUAGUCGAGCUCCGGAUAUUAAUCUAAUCUAUCACAAGGAUUUUUUAGCCCAAUCCUACUUUCAACUUAAUUCUAGUACCAAUUAUACUAAUUAUUUACCUCUUCUAACUUAAUUUUAUCAAUUUAUGUUCUUUUCAAGGUAGUAGAAGAGUCUCUACAACUUAGAAGAUAAAAUUAUUAACUAACCUUCAACCCACUAAUUAUUAAGAUAAGAAAAUAAUCUAAGAAGCUUUUAUAAAAGCCAUAUUUAGAUACCUCAAAUUAUAAUCGAACUAAGAUAAUUAGAUAUUAAUUAUAAAUUUAAUUUUGAUUAUAAUUUCAUUAUAUAUUUGUAUUACAUCACGACAACGUGGUUUACUUAUUGGCUAAGUUUUUAACCUAUCAAUACAUCUAAAAUCAAAACCGCAUCUAUAAAGCUUUUAGGGAGCUUCUUUAGAAGAUUUUAUGAAAUUAAUCUAUAUUUAUGUACUUCUAUCUAAUUAUAUAAGUAACUAUUGAGGCAAAUAUAUAUGUCCAUAACAUCCACUUAGAUAACCAUCCUAAGUUCUUUACAGAAGGAUCUAUAGUAGAUCCUACAUAGAUAAUUGCCUUAAUUCCUCUCUAAAAUGUUCCAUGGUGGAUCCUACAUAGUCCACUAACCUAACUCCAAUGCUAGAAAAUUACUAUAAACUUCUCAAAUAUAAUUCUAACUAUCUAUUUUCAUUUGUCAACAAUAGAAAUAUCUAAUUUAUAUCCUGUUACAAUCAUUGUCUUGUUCACUAAUAAAGUAAUUUUGAUAUAACAAUGAAGUAGUCACACCUUAUCACCUACAUUGAAUUGUGGUUGUUCCUUGCAUUAGGCAUCCACAUUGAUCUUUAGUUAUUGUUGAGUUUCUUUUAAUUGUGCCUUUAUUCUUACAUAUAAUUUUAAUAAAUAAUUUUCUAAAUCUUGUGCCAUAAGAAUAUCAACUUUUGAAAAGUCAAAAGUAUCAAAUUUUGGAUAAAAAUCAUAAUUUAUAAAAAAGAUAUUUAUUGACUAGAAGAAUGUAUCAAAUUAUUGUAUACAAACUCUACCAAUGGUAAAAGAGUUGUUCAAUCAUCUUGAUGAUAAUUGAUGGUACACCUCAAAUAUAGCUCUAAAACUUAAUUCAUCUAUUUUAUUUGCCUAUUUGUUUGAAGAUGAAAAGUUAAAAAAAGCUUUAUAUCUAUUUUUAAAAUCUUAAAAAAGAUUUUUUAAAAUCUUGAUAUAAAUUGAGUUUCUAUAUCUGAUAUAAUAUCUUUGAAUAAUCCAUAAUAGUAAUAGAUAUUAUUGACAAAAAACUUAGCCAAUUUUUUAUUUGCCAUAAAUUUUGUACAUGAUAUAAAAUGUGCCAUUUUGAUAAACAAUCUACUAUCAUGAAUAUAAAAUCAUAUAAACCUAAGAUUAAACUAUCAUUGAUAAAAUCUAUAGUAACAAAAGACCAUAGUUUUUUUGGAAUAGGUAAUAGCUGAAGAAGUCCAUAAAGUUGAUGAUGAGAAGUUUUGGAUCUUGAACAAAUAUCACAUAAUUAUACAAAGUCUUUCAUUGCCUUCUAUAUUUGAAACCACCAAAAAUAUUUUAAUAUUAGCUCUAAAAUCUUCUUGUAUCUAAAAUGUCUGACUACUAGAAAGUUAUGACAAGCUUGAAAAAUAUGCAAUUAUACUUUGUCUUUUAGAAUGUAUAAUCAUCUCUUGAAAUAGAAUAGAUUAUUUUUGAAUUUGAACUUUGAUGUAUCAUAAGACUUAAAAGAAUUAUUUUUCAUAUCAUGAAUAGGAGGAUCAAAAGAUAUUCUUGAUUGAAUUUGCUUGACAAUGGUUGAAUCAAUAAUCAAUGUUGAUUUUAUUGCUCAAAGAUGAAAAUGCUCUGGCUUUAAAAAAAACAUUCUUUGUUGAUCAAAAGUUUUACAUCCUUCUUUUAAUAUAAAAUAAAAAAAUCUAGAAAGAACAUGUGAUGAAUUAUGUUAUUUUUCAAAUCUAUAGGUGAACUUGAAAUCAAAAAUCUUAAUAAAGACAUACUCCAACAAACUUGGCAACGAUUUAAAAUAAGAGUCAACAUAAAAUAUUUGAGAUUCUUGUGAUUUGUAUAUAUAAGAACUAGAAUAGAAGCACAUUUUAAAUAAUGAUAUCAUUCUUAAAAUGAAUACACAAUUGCAACAAGCUCUUUGUCAUUUUUUUCAUAAUUAAUCUUAAUUGUUAAAAAACUUCUAGAAUAAAAAAGAAUUGAAUGGAACUUAUUAUUUGCUCUCAUUUGUGAUAAAACAAUAGCCAUAGCAAAGUUUGAUGCAUCUAUUUCAAUGAAAAAUACCUUAAAAAAAUCGAUGUGAUAUAAAAUUGGUGCAAAAAUAAAUAUUGACUUCAAGGCUUCAAAAGAUGUUUCUGCUUCUUUAUUCUACUGAAUAUUGUCUUUACAUGUCAAACAUAUAAAAAGAGCCACAACUUGAGAAAAGUUCUUGAUGAAUAUUUCAUAAUAAUUGGUAAAUUUUAAAAAAUAUUACACAUCUUUGAUUAUUUUUUGAGUCCUUCUAAUUCAUGAUAGUCUAGACCUUCUUAGGAUCCAUCAUUAGUCUUUUAUUAAAAAUGAUGUAUCUUAAGAAAUCAACUUGAUUAGUGUAGAAUAUAUACUUUUUUAUUUUUGUAUAUAAUCUUGUAUUUCUGAGUUUUUGUAAUACACAAUAAAUAUAAAGUUCAUAUUCUUUUAUAUUCUUAGACUAGAUUAGAAUGUUGUCUAAAAAAUAGACAACAAAAAUAUCAAGAAGCUCAAAAUAGACAUUAUUUUAGAAAUAUUGAAAAUUAAUUGCUAUAUUUGUGAUUUCAAAAGCCAUGACAUUAUAUUAAAAAUAUCCAUAUAUAAUUUAAAAAGUAGUCUUCUAUUUAUCUCCUUUCUUAAUGUAGAUUAGAUUGUAUGCUCUAUAUAGAUUUAUUUUUGUAUAGAUCUUUGCUUGGUUGAGUUGAUUAAGAAGUCUUUGAAUCCAAGAUAAGAGAUACCUAUUUUUGAUGGUGAUCUUAUUAAAUCCUUGAUAGUCUACUUACAUCUACAAAGAUCCAUCUUUUUUUCUUGACAAAUAAGAUAGGAGUUUGUACUAGAGAUUUUGAGUGGCAUAUGAAGUUCUUAGCCAAGUUCUUGUUAAUGUAUUCUUUUAGUAUAAUCAAUUUAUUUUGCAAUAAGUUAUAGAUUAGUCUAAAUGGUAGUUGAGCUCCUUAUUAUAGAUUAAUUAUACACUCAUAAGUUCAAUGUUUGAAAAGAAUAUCUGCAUUCUUUUUUUCAAAAAUGUCUUAGACAUCUUAAUAUUAGCUAAGAAUACUACUUGAUAUCUUUUUAUGACCAAAAAUAGCUAUAGCAUAUAUAGCAAAAGAUGGCCUUUUUUUUGCUGAAUGCAUGAAAGCUCUUGCAUCUACUAGUAAGGAUUUGAAUAUAUUAAGCUUAUCUAUUUCUACAUUACUAUUAAAAUUUUAGAUUAAACUAUAAGAAAAAUUAAGAUUACAAGAAAUCCAACCUAUUUUAAAAUUAUAUUUUUUUAACCAUAAUAAUCUAAAAAUAAUUAGAUUGGAGGAAGAUCUUAUCAUAUUAAAUAUUAUUACACUAAUAUGAUCAUUAAUUGCUACAUCUAAAGAAAUAAUCUCAUGAAUAACAUCUCUAAAAGACAGCAAACAACUAUCUAUGACUUCUAAAUGUAUGAAUUUAAUUUUCUUGACUAAACAUAUUUCUUGUUUCUUGAGAAAGUCUUUGUCUAUAAAACAGACUAAUGCACUUGAAUCUAAUAAUUUAAAGAUUUUAUGAUUUUUAGGUCCUAAACAUAUAUCUAUUACAAAAUAAGGUACUAAAUCUAAAAAUAAAAUAAGAUCUUUAUCAUGUAUUGCAUAUGAUUUUAGCCACACAACCUCCAUUAUAGUUGAAAAAACUUAUUUUUUAACACAUUAUUUCUUUUAUUAAUUGUACUCCUCAUUUUGUAAUUAUGUUGCUUCUUUGAGCAAUAUUGAGUAAUAUACUUAGCUUCUCAAUAAUAAAAGCAUAAGUCUCUUCUUGCUUAGUAAGAAAUUUAAAAUAUACUAUAUUAAUUUGUAUUAGUUCUGUCAGGGAUAUGAAUCUCAAAGAAAGAUAAUCCUUGAUACACUCUUGUAUCACUGUAGAGAACGAGAAAUUCACUCAAAAGAUAAUGUAAUAUUAACAAAUAGCUAUUGCCAAAAAUAAAAGGACUAGAAAGUCUUGAAAUAAGACUAAGGACUGGAACGGCAUUGAUAAGAGUGAAGAAGGCUUCACUCUUGCCUCCAUAUAUAUUCUUAACUAAGAGCUAUAUAGCGAUGUCAUAUAAGACCUUCAAAACAUGUUAACUUUGCCAGUCACAUGUCUUAAUUUGUAAGGCAAAUUAUCUAUAUAUGUGUCAUAAGGUGAGUUUGUUCCACAAGCUAUUAUUCAAAGAUAACUUAUUCUACAAGCUACCAAUAUGUGGUUAACUUAUUGGCCAAAUUUUUGACCUAGAAAUACAUCUAAAAUCAAAACCGCAUCUAUAAAGCUUCUUGGAAGCUUCACUAAAAGACUUUAUGAAAUUAAUGUAUAUUUAUUUAUUUCUACCUAAUCAUAUAAGUAAUUAUAGAAAUAAAUAUAUAUGUCCAUGACAUUAUCUUCCUUUCUAGAUAUAAGUUUCAUAAAAAGUGGUCUUCAUAUGUUGAAGAAGUCCAAGAUGCGACAAAUUAUAUUUGUCACAUACUCCAAUCUUUGCUCUCUUUGAAGAUGGUUGAUAGGCCUUGUCAACCAUUGAUAGUGUCCCAUACCAAGGCAAGAUGACCAUCGUAUUAUUUGGUUGUUGUUGAGGCCUUUGUAACGUCUUUCAAAUAAAACAUUUGGAAUACCGUUAGGAGUUGUUCCUACCUCUAAUAAAAUCAUCAAACAACAGGAAUCUCUUCUAAGGUCGUGAUACCAAAUACGUUGUCGUGUUGUGAUUCGGCUAUUAUAUGAAAAUAAUGUAAUUAUGUACUUAAUAUAUAAUUUAUUAAGUAACAUAGUAAGAGCUAUGUUAGUCGAUUUUAGUUGGUUGUAGAUUAUAAUUUGGUUAUUAUCCUGAGAAGAGGUUAUUUAAAAAGACUACUAUAGAAUUUGUAUAAAUUUAAUUUCUUUUUUGAUAAUGGCUUUUAAGAUUGGUUUAGUUCAUAGCAACUUCUAAAUAUUUAGAGUUACCUUUGUUAGACAUUGGUGACCUUUGAAAACUUCUUUUGGUUCUUUUAUUUGGUGUUUAGAGCAUAAAUUAUAUAAAUCUUAUAAAAAAAAGGAUUAAAGAAGGAUUUUGGUAGCAAAGGGAGUAAUUAGGGCACCAAUGUAGAUGAAUGGAGAUGAAUGAUGAAAAUCUCCAUUCCUAUUGGUCAAAAAUCAUGACCAAUGGGCUUUGAGGAGGCUGCCCGAGGCCAUAUUAAGGAUUAGGGUUAGUUUCUCGGGGCCAUUCGAGUUUUUAAGACUAAGGUGAGAAGGUUUAGGUUUUUGGCUAUGGUUUUGGUGCAAGUUUUGUAUCAUUUGGGGCUUUUAUGAAGAAGUUAUAGGAGCUCAAAGUUAAGGUGUUAGUUUUGGACCUACUAUCACUCUUUUUGGCAUAACGCACGCAUACGGACAACAAUUGAGGAUCGGCAACCGCGACUAGAAAGAGCACUUUUUUGGCUACUCUUUUUACAUUCUGCUUAUUGGAUUCCAAGUUGGAAUGAAGGAGUUAUUGGAUUUUGAAGUCAGCACAUGCAAUCUAAGGGUAGUAAGUAACCUGAUUUACUAGUGGUUGUCUCUUGAGCUAUAUCUUAAGCAAUUUGACAAGGUUUUGGCUCAAAAUUUCUAAGAUUGUGUAUAAUCUUGUUAUAAAGCUUUCUACAUAAGUUUUGUGGGAUUUGGAGUUUGGAUUUUUGAGAUAUAAGAAAAAUAGUUUUUCGGGUGCUUGUAAAUUAGGGAUUAGAGUACCUGCUAGGGUUUCUAGAUGCCAAAAGAUUGGGAGUGAAUUUGCAGUUGGUUUUUUUUUGUAGUAAAAUUUAAGGGUGAAUUCUACCUAUCAUGUAAAUUUGAGAUAAAUCGAACAAUUAGAUCAAUAGUUAUGAUUUUCUAAAGUUCAAGGCAAGAAAACCCUUUGCGGAAAAAAUAUGUUUUGUAGAGAUUUUGUUAUAUUUAGAGUUUUAUACAAAAAUAAAGGAGUUUUGGAAGCUAAGACAAGAAUCAUAUAAAGGUUUAAGCUACACUCUCUAUAGCUAGAUACCCAAUAUAUUCUUAGAUAGCAAAUCAUGUCAUACGACAACGUUGUAUCUUGCCAUCUAUUUGAGGAAAGACAUGUCGUUAUUGAGGAUCUUCAUCUCUAUUUUGUUGUCUUGAAGGUUGUGACAAUCGCAAUGUCUCAUCUGGUAAAUCCACAAAUGAAAGCUCUUGAGUUCAAUCUAUUGGUUGUUGGUUCUCUAUCUCCUUGGUGUCAUAAAUAUACACAAGCUACAAAAAAAAAUAGAAGAUAGAAUGUUAUCUUCUUUUGAUCUUAUUUCUUUUACAGCAAAGAUUUUUUAUUCUUCAUUUUAAUUUUGAUGGAUUUUUUUGAUUAAAAGCUUCAACUUUCUUUGCUACAUUUGCAAGAUUCUGUGACAACUUCCAUGUGCAUUCAUUAAUAUCAUAUCCGCACCAAUGAAUAAGAUAUUUCAAUCUAUUUUGGGAUUGCCUUGAAUCUAAGACUUCUUCUAUCUUGAACUCUUAAUUAUUAUUGACUUUUAUAGAAGAAGGUGGCAUUUUUCUUCUUUCUAAAAUAUUCGCUAUCUUAUACAGUUCAAAAAGAGACAUGUCAAAUACAAGGUGGAUCUUCAUAGACUCUUGUAGAUAUAAUUGAUAAGCAAUAAGAUUGAUUUAUUCAAAAAUAGAAAAAGAUUUCAGUCUAAAAAUUAAUAGUUUAAUUUUUUACAUGUAUAAGUAGUCUUGAUAUAGCAACAAAGUAACCAUACCUUAUCACCUAUGUUGAAUUGUGGUUGCUCCUUGCGAUAGGCAUAUACAUUGGUCUUUUGUCGUCCUAGAGCUUCUUUUAAUUGUAUCUUCAUUGUUACAUGUAGAUUUGACAAAUAAUUUACUAAAUCUUUUGUUGUAGGAUUAUCAACUUUAAAAAAGCCAAAAAUAUUAAGUCAUAGAUGAUAAUCAUAUUAGCAAAGAAAGGUAUUUGUUGAAUAGAAGAAUGUAUCAAAUUAUUGUACGCAAACUCUGCUAAUGGUAAAAGAGCUGUUCAAUCAUCUUAAUGAUAGUUGAUUGUACACCUCAAAUACUAUUCCAAAAUUUGAUUCACUCGUUUCGUUUGUCCAUCUAUUUGAAGAUGAAAAGUUGAAGAAAGCUUUAUAUCCACUUUUAGAAUCUUGAUACAAAUUGAGUCCCUCUAUCCAAUAUAAUAUCCUUUGGUAAUCCACAAUAGUAAAAGAUAUUAUCAAUGAAAAAUUUAGCUGUUUCUUUACUUGAAAUAGAUUUUGUACAAAAUCUAAAAUGUGCCAUUUUAGUGAAGCAAUCUAUAAUUACGAAUAUAGAAUCAUGUGAACUUGAGAUGGAAAGAUUUGUGAUAAAAUCCAUAGAAACAAAAGACCAUGGUUGUUUUAGAAUAGGUAAUAGUUGAAGCAAUCCAUAAGAUUGAUUGAGAAGAGUUUUGGAUAUAGAACAAGUAUUGUAUAAUUGUACAAAGUCUUUGACUGCCUUCUACAUUUGAGGCCCCCAAGAAUCUCUUGAUAUUAGCUCCAAAGUCUUAUUGUAUUCAAAAUAUCCAGCUACUGAAAAAUCAUGAUGAGCUUGAAGGACACGUUGUUGUGAUGUAACACGACUAAUAAGUGAAAGAGUGUGGAAAUUAUUAUAAUAUAGAUCUUAGUUCAAAGUAUUAGAGAAAAUUAUCUUAGAAAUAUAGUUAAUAGUCAAAAGGGUAGUAAAACUAAAAGGUACCAAUGCUGCCUUUUUAAAAAGGUGACUUCUACUUAUUUUGUAGGACCAUAAAUAAAGCAAAACAAAAUAGAUUGGAAAAAUAAAUGAUAUAGGCAUCUUUAGAAGGCAAUUGAGAAUAAAUUCUAGCAAAAUUUACUUAGAAAAACUAGAUAUUGAUACCCAAAGAGAGCCGAUUAUGAACUAGGAUUGAAAUCAGACCUCGAGGCACGAAACCGAGUAUUGACAAUGACUCUAAGAUUCUUUUGUAGAUUAGAGAGGGGUUUGAUAGCAAACUAGAUUGGAUUUCUAUGAACAUUGGUUUUGGGUGAUUUGGAGUUGUUAUGUUUUUGUAAAAGCUUUACAAAGUGAAGAUUGUUUUUGGAUGACUAAGGUUUUGUGAAAUAAAAUAAGGUUGAUGUUUCUAGUGAUUUCAAGAGUUCUAUAAUAGAUCUAUGGAUAAAAUCUUAUAGGAGAAUAGUCAUAGUUGUGUUUAAUAUGUGUUGUAAAUCUUAGCUUGAUCUAACGGUUGAAUUAAGGAUUAUUGAGGUUUAAGGAGGUCAAGAUCUUAGAAAGUAGAAUUUUAGGUCUAGUGAGAGUUUUUAAGAUUUCUUGCAAUCUACUAGUUGAAUUGGAGUAAAAUUUUUGUGAAUGAAUAUCAAACUUGUUUUUCUAUGCGUAUAAGAAUUUUAAAAUCAAUUAAACAAUGAAAAAGAGAGAUAUUGGUUCUGGAAGAUUGGCAUCAAGGUCAGAGAAGGAGGCCAACCAAUAUCCAAGCACGUUUUCGAGGCUAUUGUCUAUUUGGUAAUUCCGAUCAUUUUUAAAUUUUUUUGUACUUAUUGUCAACUUAAUUUUUAAAAAGUAUGCAAAUUUUGAGUUAAGAUCAAUGAUUCAUUCAUUAAUAAUUGAAGUAAAAAUCUAUUAUAGGAAUUAUUAGAGUUUGAUUUAGGAUUUAGGAUUUGGUUUAGGAUUUAGUGAGGAUUUGAUUUAGGAUUAGGAUUUGGUUAGGAUUUGACUUAGAAUUAGGAUUAGGAUUUGGUUAGGAUUUGAUUUAGAAUUAGGAUUUGAUUUAAGAUUUAGGAUUUGGUUAGGAUUUGAUUUAGGAUUAGGACUUGAUUUAGGAUUUAGAGUUUGGUGAAGGUUUGAUUUAGGAUUGAGAUUUGAUUAGGAUUUGGUUCAAGGUUUAGGAUUUGGUUAGGAUUUGAUUUAGGAUUAUGAUUUGAUUAAGAUUUGAUUUAGAAUUUAAGAUUUGAUUUAGGAUUAUGAUUUGAUUAAGAUUUCAUUUAGAAUUUAAGAUUUGAUUUAGGAUUGGUUAAGAUUUGAUUUAGGAUUUAGAGUUUGGUUAAGGUUUGAUUUACGAUUUAGGGUUUGGUUUAGGAUUUGAAUCUAAAAGGUAUGACAUUAUAUUCAAAAUAUCUAUAAAUAAUUUAAAAAGUAGUCUUGAAUUUAUCUCUUUCUUUGAAACGAACUAAGUUGUAUGCUCUUCAUAGAUCUAUUUUGAUAUAAAUCUUUGCUUGAUUGAGUUGAUCAAGAAGUUCUAAAAUCAAAGGCAAAGGAUACCUGUUCUUGACGGUGAUCUUAUUGAAUCCUCAAUAAUCUACAUACAUUUAUAGAGAUCCAUCUUUCUUCUUCAUUAAUAAAAUAGGAGAUCCGGUUGGAGAUUUAGAAUGGCAUAUGAAGUUCUUUACUAAGUUCUCAUCAAUGCACUCCUUUAAUGCUACUAGUUCAUUCUGCUAUAAGCUAUAGAAUAGUCUGAAUGGUGGUUAAGUUCAUUCUUGUAAAUCAAUUGAACAAUCAUAAGGUUAAUGUUCUAAAAGAAUAAUUACAUUCUCCUUUUCAAAAAUAUCUUGGAAUUCUUCAUAUUGAUUAGGAAUACUACUUGAUGUUUUUUUACCAUCAGAAAUAGGCAUAACAUAUAUAGCAAAAGAUGAUACUUCUUUUAGAGCAUGCAUGAAAGCUCUCGCACCUAUCAGUAAAGGUUUGGAAGUACUAGACUUUUUUAUUUCUACUUCAUUAACUUGAUCUUUGAUUAUAAUACCAAAAAAAUUAAAGUUAUGAGAAAUCUAAUCUAUUUAAGGAUUAUAUUUUUUUAGCCACGAUAAUUCUAAAAUAAUUAAAUUAGAGAGAGAUCUUAUUAUAUUAAAUACUACUAUAUUAUUAUGAUCUUUAAUUAUUAUAGCUAAAAGAACAAUCUCAUGGAUAGCAUUUCCAAAAGACAAAGAACAACUAUCUAAGACUUCUACAUGUACAAAUUUAGUUUUCUUGACUAAAGUUUUUUUUUUUUUUUUUUUUUUUUUUUUUGAUGAAAUCUUUGUUUAUAAAAUAAGUUGAGGCUCUUGAAUCUAAUAAGAUAAGGACUUUGUGAUUUUUAGGUCCUAAAUGUAUUGAAGUAAAAGUGAAAGUAAAAUAAGUUAUUUUGUAGAAGAUAUUACCUCAGAUAAAUUGCUAAUAGUCAAAGAAUUGACUCUUGGUGUAUAGAAAGGGCAUCUUAUAGAUAUAGGAUGAGGUCAAGGACUAAGAGUCAAAAACAAGAGGAUAAAAAAUGAACUAAAGAAUAUCUAAAGACUAAGUAAGAAUAAUAAGUAUUUGAAUUAGGAUUCCUUUGUAGUUAGUAAGAUGUCAAAGGAUCCAAGGACCAUAAGAUAUCCUCGAGGUACAUUAGAUACCAAAGGAUCCUAGGACCUAAAAUCAUAUGUAUAAAAGUCAAAGAGUGGAAGUUGUCUUGUAAGGUAGCAACCACAACCUAUAAGUACUGGAUGUUGGAAGUGAAAAAUAUCGUACUCCAUACUGUCUUUGUGUUCAACCUUGCUGAUACUAUAUGUUAUGACUAUAAAGUUCUAUUUCUUUAGUAGGUUAUGGAUCCACUCACCUUUAGUUGUGAAUUUUGAAGUUCUUUGAAAUUUUUUUGUUAUUAUGAGGAGUAGAUCUUAUGGUUGUUGUUGAUGUUAGAAUUUGGUAUCUUCUAAAUCUCCUUUUGCAUCUAAUUGUUGAUGUAGUUACGUUCUUAUUUUUUGUUAAGUGCAUUCAUGGUCUUUAAGAUUAUUAUACACUUUAGAAUGUUGUUUUAGAACACUAGUGGUGUAUUUCUUUGCUGACCUACUUCAUUGAUAUAUUAACAUUGAACUUUUAUAAGCUUAAGUUCUUAAUAGAUCUUCUUAUAGUCAAAAGAGGUGUUAUGAGACAUUAGAGGUGAUAAAAGAGUGGAAAAGCUUGUAAGAGAGGUUUUGAUAGUGUAUGAGACUUAUAAAAAAUCUUAUAAGUGAAUUUGAAAGUGAUCAAAGAGUAAAAACACUAAUUUAUUUACAAAGAAGGCAUUUUGGGAUUAUAAGGCAGUAACAUCUUUUUGUUGAUUUUAAGAGUUAUAUCUUCUCUUAUCUUGAUUUUUUUUUAUACAUCCGUUCUUUAGACAUGGCUUUAAGUGAGGGUGAAGAUUUGAGAGUCAUUGAGAAGUUUAGAGGUGACAACUUCUACCAUUGGAAGAAGAAAAUGGAGUUUUUGUUGGCUUCAUUGGACCUUUGGGACAUUGUUGAUGAAAGUGAAGAGCCUUCUAGUGAUAAUGCUGAUGUCAAGGUGAAGAAGGAGUACAAACUACAUGAAAGAAAGGCUUUUGACAUGAUUACAAGAAAUCUUGAUAAUGUCAAUUUUUCACAUGUAAUUGGUUGCAAUGGAUCAGCAAAAAUAUGGAAGACUCUUUGUAAUAUCUAUGAGAGUAAAAGCCUUGCUAAUAUUCUAUGGAUAAGGAGGAAGUUCUUAAUGGUAAAGAUGGAAGAAGGAGUUAACUUCAUGGUUCAUGUUAAUAAGGUAAAAGUACUUGCAAACCAACUAGCAGUUGUUGACACACCAUUUAAUGAUAGAGAAAUUGUGUUGACAUUACUCAUGAGUCUUCUCAAGUCCUAUAACUACCUCAUUGUGGCAUUGGAGUCUAUCAACAUGAAAGAGUUGACCAUGAAUUAUGUCACAUCAAGACUUGCACAUGAAGUAUUGAAGAAGAAAAAAAAAGAGCUUCAAAGUGAUGAUUCGAUUCUAUUCUCAAGACAAGGCAAAGGUAGCUUUCUACACUAACAUGAUAAUUUAAAAAAUAACAUAAGAAAUCAUUAUAUUUGUAAAAAACCAAGUUAUUUUUCUAAAAAUUGCUACAAGGACAAGAAAAGAAAAAGAAAAAAUACAAAUAAUGCUAGUGAUAGUUUUGGUGGAGAUGAUUAUCCUUUCAUGGCAAGUGAAGGAGCCUCUAUUGCUGCCAUGUCUAAGUAGAUUAUAGAUUUAGGUAUCACUAAACACAUGACACCAUAAAAGUGUUCAUUUGAUACUUAUGAAGUAAUUCUAGCAACAAAAGUAUAGUUGGGAGAUAAUAGCAUGGUGCAAGCGAUUGGAAUUGGCUCCAUUGUAGUAGAGAUUGUCUUCUUCCACCUUUCCAUUCAAAAAAGCCAUCUUUACAUUCCUAGAUUUGAUUGUAAGGUCGAUUUACUUACUUCCUUUAAUUAUACAACUUCUUGCCAUAGACUCUGAACUUCUUGCACAUGUGUAGACAUAGUACUUCCAUGACUUAUAUUAGAAAUAUAUGAGAUUUCUAUUCUAAGAAUUUUGACAAGCUCAUGAAGAUCUACAAUACUUGUAAAUCUAUUUUCACUUCUACUUGGUAUAAAAUCUAUAAUCUUUUCUCCCAUAGAUAAUUCAAACAAAUCCAAAAAGUUAAAUUAGAAGAAGAUAAUCUACAAUCUUUAAUAAAAAUUUCUACAAAGAGGAGUAAUCCACUUUCUUUAAGAAAAGAUCAGUAUUAGAAAAUAAGAUUUUUUUGUUUAAAAGGUGGAUAGUCUGCAACCUUCAAAAUAUAAGAAUAGAAGUGUAAUAAUUCAUUGACUUCUAUAAUAAGAUAAAAAUAUUAUGUUAGAACUCUUAUCAAAUUUUCAAGGAUAUGAAUCUCAAAAAAAAAAAAUCCUCAAUACACUCCUGUAUCAUUAAAGAAAACUAAAAAGUCACUCAAAAGAUAAUAUAAUAUUAAUUAAAAUGGCUAUUUCUAAAAAUAAGAAGAUUAGAGAGUCUUGAAAUAAGACUAAGGACUAGAACGGCAUUGAUAAGAGUGAAGAAGGCUUCACUUUUGCUUCCAUAUAUACUCUUAACUAGAAGCUACGUGGCAUUGUCCUAUAAGACCUCCAAAACAUGUUGACUUUGCUAGCUACAUGUCUUAAUUUACAAGGCAAGUUAUCUACGUAUGCACCACAUGAUUAACUUGUUCUACAAGUUAUUAUAUAGAGUUAACUUGUUCCACAAGCUACUAAGAUGUGGUUAACUUAUUGCCUAAGUUUCUGACCGAGAAACACAUCUAAAGUCAAAACCGCAUCUACGUAGCUUUUAAGAAGCUUCACUAAAAGACUUUAUGAAAUUAAUCUAUAUUUAUCUAUUUCUACCUAAUAAAUUAAGUAAUUAUUAAAGUAAAUAUAUAUAUAUAUAUAUAUAUAUAUAUAUAUCUAUGACAGAUGUACAUAUAAAAAACUUGCCUUGCAAUUUAAGAUAUAUAUCUUCCAAGGUCAAUAUGUUUUAGAGCUUUAAUAGGACAUUGCCUUGUCGCUUCUAAUUAGGAAUAUAAAUAGAGAUAAGAGUGAAGCCUUCUCUACUCUUGUUAAUACCUUUCUAGUUCUUAGUCUUAUUUUAAGAUUUUCUAGUCUUCUUAUUUUUGAAAAUAACCAUUCUAAUUCAAUAUUAUAUCAUCUUUGAGUGACUUUUUAGUUCUUUUGAAUGAUACAAGAGUAUAUUGAGGAUUUUUUCUUUGAGAUUUAUGUCCUUGAUAAUUUGACAAGAACUAACUUACUGUUCUUCUCUUUUUUAGAAAUCAAUGGAUUAUCUUAUUUUUAUUAUUAUAUUUUGAAGGUUACAAAUUACAUCAUGGAUAUAUACAUAUAAACUAAUAAUUAUCUAUAUAAUGAGAUAAAAAUAAGCAAAAGUAGAUUAAUUCCAUUAUAUCUUCUACAAAAACUUUUUAGAAGCUUCAUAGACACUAUUUUGACUUUAUAGGUGUCUAUAAUUGAUUUUUUAGGUUAAAAAUGUGGUCAAAAAAUUAGUCAUGUGCCACACAUAUUGAUAGCUUAAAGAACAAGAAAUUUUUAUGGCACACAUAUAGAAAACUUUCUUGGUAAGCUAACGCAUGAUUUAUGCAAAGUCAAUACAUAUUAGAAGUCCUAUAGAACAUUACUACAUAGCUUCUAAUUAAAUAAUUUAUAUAGAGGCAAGAGUGUAGCCUUCUUCACUCUUAUCAACUCCUUUCUUACUUCUAGUCUAGAUUCAAGAGUCUUUAGUUUUUUUGUCUUUUGGAAAUAGCCAUUUUAGUUUCUUUUUAAUAUACAUACUUCUUUAUUUUUAUUUUAUUAUAUUCAUUUAUUUACUUUCAUGAAGUUCUUAACCUUGACAGAUUAACAAGAGUAUACUUAUAAUAUCAAAGUCUUGUCUUUUUUUAAUUAAGUGUGGAUUAUUUUUUUUCUUGAUAAGACAUAAGCAUAUUAGAAGUUAUAGAUUAUCCUCUUUUAAACUGAUAUUUUUCUUAGUAUCUUCUUCAAUGUCUAGUUCUCUCUUCUAUAGGACUUAAGUAAAAUUAGAUGUAUUUUUUUUUCUAAGUAUUAUCAUGACAAAGCUUUUUGAAAUGAAGAGUAUAAUAACAUAAAUACAAGAGUAGUUGAAAAAAUUAAUGCUUGUAAUUCAUCAACUCAGUUUAUUACGAAAAUCAAUAAUAAGAAUGGCAUAAAGUGAAGAUAUAGAUUUGAUUAGAAUUGCUUCAAUAUCUAUACCAAAUUAUGUCCCUUCUCUUAUGAUAGAACAUCCUUCUAAUAUUAGAAAACCAAGAGUUGCCCUGCUUGAAAAGUUUGAUGGCACUAGAUCUAAAUUUUGAGGAUUUAUCAAUCAAGUAUAACUUUUGAUUGUACUUCAAGUCCAAAUCUAUCCAACUUUAAGAUCAGAAGUUAGAUUCAUUGAUAUACUUCUUUCAAAUUCAAUAUUAUCAUAAUUUUCAUCUUUUUUUGAACGAUGAGAUCUAAUAUUGAAUAAUUUAGAGGCUUUUUUGGAGAAGUUUUGAUCCAUGUAUAGAAAACAUGAUGUAACUAGUAUUGCAACCAACAAGAUCCAUAUUUUGCAAUAAAGCAAUCAAUUCAUAAUAUUAUAUGCUUCACAAUUUUGACAACGUGCAACUGAUAUCAAAUGAAAUAAUGUUGUACUUAUUAGCCAAUUUUUCUAUGGAUUAUAAUAUGAGAUAAAAAAAUUGAUGCUCAACUUAUUUAAUCCUCAAACAGUUGUCAAGCAUUUGACUUUGCUAUGAAGUAUAAUAAUCAACUUUUUGAAUUUUGAUCUAAGAGUCAGACAAGUGGACCUCAACGUUACUAUCAUUCAAUGGCAAUAUCAAUAUCUUUUCAAUACAUACAUUCAAAAUUAGAAGAUAUAUAAAUUGAUAUGAUAUGUUUCAAACCACUUAUUAAGCAAGAAAAGUUUUUUUGCCAUCAGAAAAGAUUGUGCUUAUAUUAUGGAGAACCUAAGUACAUUGCUCAAUAUUUUCUAAAGAAAUGAUAUAAUUAUAAAAUGAGGAGUAGAAAUAUCUAAGAUAAUAUAUUAAAAAAUAAGUUUUUCUAGCUACAAUAAGAACCAUGCCACUAGAACCUUAUACAAAUGAAGGUCCUAUUUUUUCCUCAAAAUCCUCUCCUUAUUUUACACUAAAUAUUAUUUUAUGACCUAAAUAUUAUAAAGCCUUUGUCUUGUUAGAUGCAAGAGCCAUAACAUAUUUUUUAGAUGAAGAAUUUAUUAAAAGACUUAGUAUAUCUUUAAUGAGGAAAACUAAACCCAUUCAUGUAGAAAUUAUAGAUGGUCGUCCAUUGUCUUUUGGAGAUGAUACUCAUGAAACCUCUCCUAUAGAAGUAAUUACUAAUGGUCAUAAUAGCUUUGUGAUAUUUAAUAUCAUUAGAUCUCUCUCUAAUCUAAUGAUUUUAGGCUUAUUGUGGUUAAAAAAAUACAACCCUCAAGUAGAUUAGAUUUUUGGUACUGUCAACUUUUUUAAGAAUAUAACUAAGAGUAUAGUUAAUGAAGUAAAAAAUCACAAAUCUAGUACAUUUAAACCUAUGUUUGUAAGUGCAAGAGCCUUCUUACAUGCUGCAAAAGAGGGAUCAUCUUAUGUCAUUUAUGCUACACCUAUUUCUAAUGAUACAAAGACUUCAAGUAGUAUUCUAAGCAAAUAUGAAGAAUUUCAAGAUGUAUUUGAAAACAAUAUGAAUAUGUUUCUUAAACAUUGUUCCUAUGACUGUUCAAUUGACCUUCAAGAAAAAAUACAACCACUAUUUGAAUCAAUUUAUAAUUUUUCACAAAAUGAGUUGGCUAAACUCAAUGAAUAUAUUAAAAAAAAUCUAGCAAAGAACUUCAUACACUAUUCCAAAUCUCUAAUAUGAGCUCCAAUUCUAUUUAUGAAGAAAAAAAAUAUAUCAUUACAAAUAUGUAUUCAUUAUCAAUAACUCCACAAGAUCACUAUCAAGAACAGGUAUCCAUUACCUUUAAUAUUUGGACUUCUUAAUCAAUUAAAUCAAGCCAAGAUCUAUACAAAAAUAGAUCUAUAAAGAGCAUACAAUCUGAUAUGCAUCAAAAAAGGAGAUAGAUGGAAGACUAUAUUUUGAACCAAAUAUGAAAAUUUUGAAUAUAAUAUCAUAUCUCUUUUGGACUUAUAAAUAUACCAAAAAAAUUUCAACAUCUUAUAAAUAAUAUUUUUUAAGAAUUUUAGGACGAUUUUGUUAUCUAUUAUCUAAAUAAUAUCUUAAUUUAUUCUAAGAAUAUAAAAGAAUAUGAAUUUCAUGUUCGUUAUGUGUUACAAAAAUUAAGAGAUUUCAGAUUCUUUGUUAAGAUAGAAAAGUGUGUAUUCGACACUACUAAAGUUGAUUUCUUAAGUUAUAUCAUUUCAAAUGAUGGACUUAUGAUGGAUCUUAAAAAAAUUCAAACUAUUAUGGAUUAAAAGAUAUCAAAAAUGAUACAAGAUGUCUAAUAUUUUUUGGAAUUUGCCAACUACUACUGAAUCUUCAUCAAGGACUUUUCUUGAAUUAUAGCUCUACUUAUACAUGUGACUUAUAAAGGCAAAUUUUAGUGGAAUCAAGAAGUACAAGUAGUAUUUGAAGCUUCAAAGACAGCCUUUAUUUGUAUACUAAUCUUAUUUUAUUUUGACUUUUAUAAGAUAUUUUUUAUAAAAAUAGAUACAUUUGACUUUUCUUGGAUGCUAUAUUAAUAUAAAUGAAAACGAAUAAUAAAAUCCACCUCAUAGCUUUUCAUUCUAAAAAAGUUUUAGUAGUCUAGAUUAACUAGGAGAUCUACAACAAAGAACUUCUUACAAUUAUGGAUUCUUUUCAAGAAUGGUGUCAUUAUUUAGAAGGAUUUUUCAAUCUAAUCAUUAUAUGUAUAGAUCAUAAGAAUUUCAAAUACUUCAUAUCAACAUGUAUUUUGAAUUGUCGCCAAGUCUGUAGAAGCAUGUCUUUAUCAAGAUUUAAUUUCAAAAUCACAUAUCGACUUGGAAAAUAAUAAGGUUUGUGAAACGCUUUGUCUAAAUAUUCUUAUCUUGCAUCAAAAGAAGGAGAUACAUCUUUUUAUUAACAAAGAACUAUUCUCUUGAAGCUCAAGUAUUUUCAUCUUCAAGUAAUGAAAUCAACAUUGGCUACUGAUUCAAACUUUGUCAAACAAAUUCAAUCAAGUAUGUCUUUUAAUCCUCUUGUUUAUGAUAUCAAGAAUCAUACUUUUAAGUCUCAUGAUGCUUCUAAAUUUGAAUUGAAAAACAACCUAGUCUAUUUCAAAUGAUGCCUAUAUGUUCUAAAAAGAGAAGCAUAUUUAUAUGUUCUUCAAGUACGCCACAAUUUUUCAAUAUUUGGAUAUUUUUGAUACAACAAGAUUUUAGAACUAAUAUCUAAAGCUUUUUGGUGGCUGCAAAUGUGAAAGGUGGUCAAAGCUUUUUUUUAAUCAUAUGAUGUUUGUUCAAGAUCAAAAACUCCCCGUCAUCGACUUUAUAAACUUCUUCAACCAUUACCUAUUCCAAAACAACCAUAGUCUUCUAUUUCUAUGGAUUCCAUUAUGGAUCUUUCAAUUCCAGAUUUAUAUGGUUUUAUAUUUGUGAUAGUAGAUUAUUUUACAAAGAUGGCAUAUUUUUUACCAUGUAUAAAAUUUAUCAGAGGUGAAGAAACAGUGAAGCUUUUCCUUGAUAAUAUCUAUCGCUAUCAUAGAUUGCCUAAGGAUAUUAUAUUAGAUUAGAAGACUCAAUUUAUAUCAAGAUUUUAAAAAAUCCUCUUUUAAAAUCUAAAGAUAGAUAUAAAACUAUCUUUAGCAUUUUAUAUUCAAAUAGAUGGAUAAAUAAAGUAUAUAAAUUAAGUUUUGGAAUAAUAUUUAAGGUCUACGAUUAAUUACCUAUAAGCUAAUUAAGAAACUCUUUUAUCAUUGGCAAAGUUUGUUUAUAAUAAUAUGAUACAUUUUUCUAUGCAAAAAUUAUCUUUCUUUGUUAAUUAUAAUUACUAUCCAUGACUUGAUAUUUUGACUUUUCAAAAGUUAAUAAUCAUGUUACGAGAGAUUUGACAAAUCAUUUGUUUGAGCUAUAUGCAACAAUGAAGGUGGAAUUAAAAGAAUCUCAAGAAUAACAAAAGAGUAACGCAGAUGCCUAUUAAAAAGAACAACCACAAUUUAAUGUAGGUUACAAGGUAUAAUUACUUCAUCGUAAUGUCAAGACUACUCGUCAUUGUGUUAAGUUGGACUAUUGCAGGCUUAGACCUUUUUCAUUGGUGUUGCAUUAAGUCUAGAACUUAGACCUUUUCUAUUAGCAAGAAUAUGAUAUUAAUGAAUAUACAUAUGAGCAAGCAAAGAAUCUUAUAAAAGCAACAAAGAUAGUAGAGGCUUUUCAUCAAUGACAUCCAUCAAAAUCAAAAUAAAAGAUAACAAACCUUUACUAUAAAUAAAAUACAAUUCAUGAAAAAAAUUAUUUUAUCUUUUAUCUUUGUUUGUAGUUUUUAUAUGAUUAUGGAGUUAAAGAGAUGAAGAAUCAACAAACGAUGGAUUCAAUUCAAGAGCCAUUAUUUAUUGAAUUAUCAAAAGAAAUGUUGUAAUUAUCACACCCUUCAAAGCAACAUAAUAAGAAUGAAGACCUUCAAGAACAACAUGUUCUUCUUCAAAUAGAUGACAAGAUACAACGUAUUUGAAAUCACAACCUUAGAAGGAACUUUCAAUGUUUGGUGAUUUUACUAGAAGUAGAAAAAAUUCUUGACAAUAUUCCAAAUAUAUUAUUUUAAGGAAGUCAUGAAGGCCUCAACAAUAAUAAAAUAAUUGGGUGGCCUUUCCACCUUGGUAUUAGACACUAUCAAUGGUUGAAAGGCCCUAUCAACCAUCUUUGAAGAAAACAAAGAUCAGAAUAUGUGACAAAUAUAAUUUGUUACAUCUUAGAUUUCUUCAACAUAUGAUGACCGCUUCUCAUAGAACUUAUCUCUAGAUGAGGAGAUAAUAUCAUGGACAUAUACAUGUAAAUCAAUAAUUACUUAUACAAUUAGAUAAAUGUAGGCAAAAAUAGGUUAGUUCUAUAAUAUCUUCUAUAUGAACUUAGAAGCUUCAUGGACAUUACUUUGACUUUAUAGGUAUCUAUAAUAGACUUUUUAGGUUAAAAAUAUGGUCAAAAAGUUGGCCAUGUACCACACAUGUUGGUAGCUUGAAGAACAAGCUAAUUAUAUGGAAUAUACAUAAAAAACUUGUCUUGUAAGUUAAAACAUGUGUCCUACAAAGUCAACAUAUAUAAGAGCUUCUAUAGAACAUCGCCACAUAGAUCCUAAUUAGAUAGUAUAUAUAGAGAAGCAAGAGUGAAGCCCUCUUCACUCUUAUCAACUCCUUUCUUGCUUUUGGUCUAAAUUCAAGAGUUUUUAAUUUCUUUGUCUUUUGGCAAUAGCCAUUCGAAUUUCUUUUAAUAUAUAUACUUCUUUAUUUUUAUUUUUUAUACUUUUUAUUUAUUUUUAUCAUAUUUUUAUUUGUAAUAACUAUCCACCUUUAAAAAUAAACAAUCUUAUUUCUUAAUAUUAAUUUUUUUCUUAAAUAAAGUGAAUUAUCCAUCUUUGUGAUAAAAUUUAUUUGAUAUUAAAGUUUACAAAUUAUUUUCUUCUAAUUUAAUAUUUUAAAUUUAUUUGAAUUAUUUAUGGAAGAAAAAAUUAUAGAUAUUAUUCUUAAUAGAAGUGAGAAUAGAUUUGUAACUAUUACAGAUCUACAUGUACUUGUCAAUAUUCUAAGAAUAGAUAUCUCAUAUAUUUCUAAUAUGAAUUAUAGAGAUACUGUUCCUAUACCUAUAGAAGAAGUUCAACAUCUGAAUUAAAAAGUUUUUUAAUUGAAAGAAGCAAGUAAAUUGAUCUCACAAUCGAAUCUAAGAAGUUUUACUUUUAUAUGUAUGAUAAGGAUAAGAAUUAGUAUGUCUGAGAAGUUUGAUGGAAUAAGAUCAAAAUUUUAAAGAUUUUUGUAACAAAUCAAGCUUUAUCUAAGGUUGUGUGAGUCAUCAGAUUGACUCACUAGUUGUUUUAGGACAAAAGAAUGCAUGUAAAGUGCCAAAAUUACAAUUAUUAGGUAAAGAUGUGCUUAGAAGAUGUUAAAGAAAGAAGAAUAGUAUUAGUGGAGAAGAAAUGGACUCUUAGUAAGUCUUGGAGGUAAUUAUUUUAGUUAGUUUAGUAUUUUUACUUAUUAUUGAGGAGUAAGGAUUAGUUACUAAAAUCAAUAUUCAUAUUGAUCUUAUAUCUAUAUAUAUUACUUAUACAAAAACUAUAAAUAUUAGUUAGUAAUUAAAAGAAGCAUGAGAAAGAACCUCAUGUCUUUUUAGUUAUUUACAUAAAAAGUAGAAUUUAUAGUAGAUUUAAAUUGAUUCUAUUACUCUAAAAAAUCAAUAAUAUAGGAAAUUAUAUCCUUAAAUUACUAUUAGCAUUAUAGAAACAUUAUAGGAAUUUUUAAAUUUUAUUUAGAAAUUAUUUAGAAAUUUUAGUAGAUUCAAAUUAUUUUUUAUCAGUAUAAAAAAUCUUCAAUGUAGGGAAUUAUAUCUUUAAAUGGAUAUUAGAAUUAUAGAAAUAUUAUAGGAAUUUUUCGAAUUUAUUUAGAAUUUAUUUGAAUUUUCUAUGAAUUUUUAGGGUAAUUUUUAAGACCUUGGUAAAAUUGAGUUUUAUCACUUGGGGAGCUAUUAUGAAGAAAUGGAGCAAGGUUUGAAGGCCAAAAAAUAUUUCUAGGCUAAUUGGGUGUUUUUAAACUCCUUGGUGAAAUAAAAAAUACAAAAUUAUUAAUUCUACUAGUAGAAAAUAGGUGGACUAGUAGCUAGUAUAGUCCUUGUAAGAAGGGAGGUGCACAAGUUCCAUAUGGGCUGUAGCACCUUGGAUGUAGGUAGGAAGAUAAGACUAAGGCCUCAAGGCCUCUUUAGGCAACCAAUAUACACUACAUGUGAGCCUUGGUGAGGCUCGAACCCUUGAUCUAUAAGCAAGUUACCCUUGAGGUAAAAUAUUUUCACUUCACUUUUUAAUUAUUUACUUCUUAUUUUUUAAACCUUCAUAACUUACUCAUAGUAAUUCGGAUUUAUAUGUUUCUUAAGUCACUGGAAAGAUAAUAAAAUUAUCUAUCCAAAAAUUUACUUUUUACUUUUAUUUUUACUCUUUACUAGAUGAAAAUACAGUAAACAGACUGUGACUUAGUUUUUGAUUGUGUACUUGCUUCAUGUCAUUCAUUUCAAUUGUUUCUUAGUUAAUCAUCUUUUUUUCUUGUUAAUUCCUUACUUUCCUUUAUACCAUCAAUUAAAAUCAACUCUUAAUUGAUGCCAUCUUAUAAUUGAGGUUGAAGAGUGAAACUUACACUCAUAAGUUGCAUCCCUUCUAAUACUCUAAUGGAUUUACUCAAGUCAAAUUCAUAGGCACACUUCUAUUAAAAAGUGUUCUCCCUUGGUUUGUACCUUUGAUGGAAAAAGAUUUAUAAUUCCUUUAUAAUUUGAAUUCAUUCUUAGAAAUUGUAGAAUAGAUAAAUAAAUUUUGUGGUAAGUUACUGGUUGGUUAUUGACAACCUUCAGAAUUAGACUUAUGGUUAGGCAAUUUAGUUAGUAACAGUAGGUUGUUAGUAGAACAAAUGAUUAAGAAUCCAAAGGGUCAUAACCUUUGGAAUCUAGUAGUCGACAGUCCAUCUUUUACUAGGAUAAAGAGGUUGAGAAAAGGGAGAUCGGAGCCAGACUGUGAGAGUCGUAAGUUGGGAUAAGCUUGGUGCUACUUCUUUGUUUUCUUUGCUUUUAUUAUUUUCUUAUGAAGAAUUGUGAUUGAAAAAAGUAUUGUUGAAACUUUGAUUAGAAUAUUAUAGAAUGUAACUUAUGACUGAUGUUUUGGAAAAAAUCUGUGAUCUUGAGAAUUUAGAUUAUCGAAUUGUAUUGUGUUAAGUGAAGAUAUUGAAUUCUGUGUGAUGAAUUGAAAAAUUGAAUAUAAUAGAUAAGUUGGAGAUCAGUAAUUGAAUAUAUAUAAACCGCAAAGAGAGUAAGUGGAAGAUGAACUAAUAAGAAUAUGGAAGUAUUAUUGAAUUGAUAUUCAUAGAAUGGAUUAUGUGUUGAAUUGAAAUGGAAGUAGUAAACCUUGGUGUUUUGUAGUUUGAUAAUUGAUUUCAGAUAGCUAAAGUACAGUCAAUUGUGACACUAACAGACCCACUUCAUACAACCAGUCUUUUCUCGUAUUCAAACCCACUUCUAUUAGUUCAAUUGCUUUGGUAUAUUGAAGCUUGAACACAACGAGAACAACAUUAUGGCACCGUUGCUAGAGAAAUGAUAAGAAUAUGAAAUGUUAGAAAUUAAUUUUAUGGAAGAUGGAAUUAUAUGUUGAACGAGAACAUGAGAAGAACCAGUUUUAGGGUUACAAAUAUGUGAGUUAUAAUUCAAGGUAGUAUAAAUUUUGUAAAGAAGAAUGAAAGAUUAUGAGUGAUAAUCAUGAAGCGAAGGAUUAUCAAAGAAUUAAUCGAUAAGCAAAAAAAAGACGGGAGUGAUUACGCAUAAGAAAUCUCCUACGGGAACAAAAAAAAAGAAUUGUAGGUCCAAUUAAAACCAAAGGAAGAAAAAUUCAAAUUCAAAUAGCAAAGAGACCAAUGAUAACAUCAAUGGCCGCAGAAGUGCCAAAAGUACCAAUUGCAGAACAAAUGAGAGCAGUAGGAGACUGAACUACAAGUGUGGCACUAUUACCUACUUUUAGUCAUUGGCCGAGCACUAAUCUCAAUUACUAUAUAUCUCAAUUCUUGAUAGCUUGUAUGGCUAAUAAUAGUAGAAUUGAAGACAAUUGAUUGAGAUGGUUGCCAACAACUUUAAUAGAUACAACUUUUGAAUGGUAUAUUCGGCAACCAAUGGAUAGAUUUACUAAUUGGAAGGCCUUGAAGAAUACUUGUCAAGAACAAAGACUCGAUGAGGGAAAAUAUACACAAAAAGGCUAUCUCGAUAUAAUAAAUCAAAAUAUAAACAAGUAUGUAUAUUAAAAAGAAACUGGAAUGGCUAUUGCCAAAAGACAAGAAACUAAAGACUCUUGAACCUAGACUAGGAGCAAGAAAGGAGUUGACAAGAGUGAAGAAGCCUUCACUCUUGUCUCUAUGUAUACUAUCUAACUAGGGGCUACAUAACGACGUUCUAUAGGACCUCCAAUAUGUGUUGACUUUGUAGGACACAUGCCUUGACUUACAAGGCAAGUUUUUCUAUGUGUGGGCCACAUAGUUAGCUUGAUCUUCAAGCUAACAACAUGUGUGGCACAUGGGUAACUUGUUGACCACGUUUUUAAUCCAAAAAAUCAAUUAAAGACAUCUAUGAAGUCAAAGCAGCAUCUAGGAAGUUUCUAGGAAGCUUCUAUAUUAAAUAUUAUAGAAUUAAUUUACUUUUAUCUACUUUUACUUACUUCUACCGAUUUCUAUAUGUAAUUAUUAGCUUACAUGAUUAUGGCUGUGACAUUACCCCCCCUUCUAGAGACGAGUUCCACGAGGAGCGGUCAUCAUAUAUUGAGGAAAUCUAUGAUGCGACGAAUUGUAUUAGCCACAUACUCUGAUCUCUGUUCUCUUUGAAGAUGAUUGAUAGGGCCUCUCAACCAUCGAUAGUGUCCCAUACCAGGGCGGAAAGACCACCCAGUUAUUUGAUCAUUGUUGAGGCCUUCGUAACUUUCUUCGAAUAGAAUAUUUAGAACACCAUCAGGAGUUGUUCUUACCUCUAGCAAAAUCACCAAACAUCGAGAGUCCCUUCCCAAAUCGUGAUACCAAACGCGUUGUAUCUCACCAUCUAUUCGAGGAAGAACAUGUCGUUCUUGAAGAUCUUCAUCUCGAUUGCGUCGUCUUGAAGGUUGUGACAAUCGUAAUGUCUCAUCCUACAAGUCAGCAAACGAAGGUUCUUGAGUUGAAUCCGCUAGUUGUUGGCUCUCCAUCUAAUUAGCAUCACAAAUGCAAAGAAGUUACAAACAAGGAUAGGAAAUUGAAUGUUAUCUUGCCUCAAUCUUGUCUCUUUUAUAAGAGAGAUUUUCAUCUUGAUUUUGAUGGAUGUCGUUGAUGAAAAACUUUGACUUUAGCUGAUGCAUUUGUUAGAUUCCUGGAUGGCUCCCAUGUGCAUUCACUAAUAUCAUAUCCGCGCCAAUGAACAAGAUAUUCCAGCUUAUUUCGGCGCCGCCUUGAGUCUAAUAUCUCUUCCACCUCAAAUUCUUCAUUAUUAUCUACUUCUAUAGGAGGCGGUGGCAUUUAUCUUCUUCCUUGUAUAUCCACUGUCUUAUAUGGUUCAAGAAGAGACACGUUGAAUACAGGAUGGAUCUUCAUUGACUCCGGUAGAUGUAACCAAUAUGCAACUGGGUUGAUCUGUUCAGAAACAAAAAAGGGACCAAGCCUACGAUAGUCCAACUUAUCACAAGGUCGAGUAGUCUUGAUAUUCUCAUGAAGUAGCCAUACCUUAUCACCCACGUUGAUUUGUGGUUGCUCCUUAUGAUAUAGAUCUGCGUUUAUCUUUUGUCGUUCUUGAGCUUCCUUCAAUUGCGUCUUCAUUAUUGUAUGUAACUCUGACAACCGAUUUGCCAUAUCUUCUGCUGCAGGAUUAUCAACUUUUGAAAAAUCAAAAAUAUCAAGUCGUAGAUGAUAGCCAUAAUUGGCAAAGAAAGGUGUUUGUUGCGUGGAAGAAUGUACCGUAUUAUUAUAAGCAAACUCUGCCAAUGGCAGAAGGGUUGUCCAAUCAUCUUGUUGGUAGUUGAUAGUACACCUUAAAUAUUGCUCCAAGACUAGGUUUACGUGCUUUGUUUGUCCAUCAGUUUGAGGAUGGAAAGCCGAAGAUAGCUUUAUGUCCACUUUUAAAAUCUUGAAAAGGGUCCUCCAAAAUCUUGACACAAAUUGAGUUCCCCUAUCCGAUAUGAUAUCUUUAGGUAAUCCAUGAUAGCGAUAGAUAUUAUCAAUGAAAAGCUUAGCUGUUUCUUCACUUGUGAUAGAUUUUGUACAUGGCACAAAAUGUGCCAUCUUGGUGAAACGAUCUACUAUCACAAAUAUAGAAUCAUAAGAUCUUGAGCUUGGAAGAUCUAUGAUGAAAUCCAUAGAAACAGAAGACCAUGGUUAUUCUGGUAUAGGUAAUGGCUGAAGAAGUCUGUAAGGUCGAUGACGAGGAAUUUUUGAUCUUGAACAAAUAUCACAUGAUUGUACAAAGUCUUUGACUGACUUCCACAUUUGUGGCCACCAAAAAUCUCUUGAUAUGAGUUCCAAAGUCUUAUUAUAUCCAAAGUGCCCUGCUGCUAGAAAGUCAUGACGUGCUUAAAGAACACGUAAACGUGCUUCUCCUUCUGGAACAUAUAGGCGUCCUUCAAAAUAUAAUAGAUUAUUCUUGAACUCGAACUUAGAAGGAUCAUGAGACUUGGAAGAAUUAUUCUCAAUAUCAUAAACAAGCAGGUCUGAGGACAUACUGGACUGGAUUUGCUUGAGAAAAGUUGAAUCAAUAGUCAAUGUUGAUUUCAUUGCUCGGAGAUGAAAUUGCUCCGGUUUCAAGAGGACCGUUCUUUGUUGCUCAAAAGCUGCAUUUCCUUCUUUUGGUGCAAAAUAAGAACGUGUAGAUAGGGCAUCAGAUAAACCUUGUUAUUUUCUUGGCCGAUAAGUGAUAAUGAACUCGAAUCUUGACAAAGACAUACUCCAACAAGCUUGACGACGAUUCAACACGCGUGCUGACAUGAAAUACUCGAGGUUCUUGUGAUCUGUAUACAUAGUGACUGGACUAGAAGCGCCUUCUAGAUAAUGACGCCAUUCUUGAAAGGAAUCCACGAUCGCAAGAAGUUCUUUAUCGUGGAUCUCAUAAUUGAUCUCGGCUGCUGAGAAUUUUCUUGAAUGAAAAGCUAUCGGAUGAAGUUUGUCAUCUAUUCCCAUUUGUGAUAAAACUGCACCCAAGGCAAAAUCUGAUGCAUCUGUUUCCAUAAAAAAUGCCUUGGAAAAGUCAACACGAUAUAAGACUGGUGCAGAGACAAACGAUGUCUUCAAGGCUUCAAACGUUGCUUCCGCUUCUUGAUUCCAUUGGAAUUUAUCUUUACUAAUCAAGCGCGUAAGUGGAGCUGUAACUCGUGAGAAAUCUUUGAUGAAGAUCCGAUAGUAAUUGGCAAAUCCCAAGAAACAUUGGACAUCUCUUACUGUCCUUGGAAUCUUCCAAUCCAUGAUUGUUUGGACUUUCUUAGAAUCCAUCAUGAGACCAUCAUUUGAAAUGAUGUAUCCUAAAAAGUCAACUUGAGUAGUGUGAAAUACACACUUUUCCAUCUUGGCAUACAAUCCUGCAUCUCUAAGUUUUUGUAAUACUUGACGAACAUGUAUUUCAUAUUCUUUGACGUUCUUAGAAUAUAUCAGGAUAUCGUCUAGAUAGCAGACGAUAAAAUUGUCUAAGAAUUCACGAAAUACAUCAUUCAUGAGAUGUUGAAAAGUAACUGGUGCAUUCGUGAGUCCAAAGGACAUGACAUUAUAUUUGAAAUGUCCAUAUCUGGUUCGAAACACAGUCUUCCAUUCAUCUCCUUCUUUUAUCCGUACUAGAUUAUAUGCUCCUCUUAGAUCUAUUUUUGUAUAGAUCUUAGCUUGAUUCAACUGGUCAAGGAGUCCUGAUAUCAAAGGUAAUGGAUACCUAUUCUUGAUUGUGAUCUUGUUGAGUCCUCGAUAAUCAACACACAUUCGUAAAGAUCCAUCUUUUUUCUUUACGAAUAGAAUUGGAGCUCCUGCUGGAGAUUUUGAAUGGCGUAUGAAAUUCUUUGCUAAAUUCUUGUCAAUAUAUGUCUUGAGUUCAGCCAUCUCAUCUUGCGAUAAACUGUAAAUUGGUCCAAAUGGUGGCUGAGUUCCUUCCUUGAGGUCGAUUGAACAAUCAUAUGGGCGAUGUUCAGGAAGAAUAUCUGCAUUCUUUUUCUCAAAAACGUCUUGAUACUCCUGAUAUUGACUUGGAAUGCUACUUGAAGUCUUUACGUUUUCAGAAAUAGGUGUAGCAUAAAUAGCAAAAGUUGAUCCUUCUUUUGUUGUGUGUAUAAAUACUUUUGCACCUAUCCGUACGGGUUUUACUAUACUAGACUUAUAAUUUUUUAUUUGGUUGGUAGAACUAUUAAUAACACUUUGGAAAAAAUUAAGUUUACGUGAAUUCCAAUCUAUUCGAGGGUUAUAUUUUUCUAGCCAGGAUAAACCUAAAAUAACUGGAUUGGACGGGGAUUUAAUUAUGUUAAAAGCUAUGUAGCUAUCAUGACCGUCUAUUGUUACUUUUAUAGGAUGAGUUUCAUGAGUGACAUCUCCAGAAGACAAGGGACGACCAUCUAUGACUUCUACAUGUACUGGUUUAGGUUUCUGUACAAAGGGUAUUUUACGACUUUUAAAAAU
rnacentral:lncRNA from 1 species